rnacentral:lncRNA from 1 species
AUCCCCCACCUUGCACUUUCCCUAAUGAUACACGAAGGACCAUGCCCACGUGGCACAAACCCAUAUAAAAAAAAAAAUAAAUAAAUAAAAAAUUAUUUGAUCCUCUUGUCGAUAGCAUAAGCUUGGAUCCUGUGAUUUAAAUAUAAGAUAAUUAUGUUUUCGUAUUCCAUUCUUUUUUAAUAAUAAUAAAAUAGAGCAUAAGAGAACUUGUCGUGUGCCACUAUCACCCCCUUAAAAAAUUUAAUAAUAGGAAUAAAAAAAUGUAGAUGAUAGUAAGAUUAGGUCAAAAUAAUCUAAAUUCCCUUAAAAUAAGCAACAUGAUCAAAUAUUAUUAAAAUCUUUUGUCGUCUCUUCAAAAUUUCUUUGAUGGAGUCCCCCUUUUUUUUUAUAUUUUAUUUAUUUAUUUUUUAAUAAGGGCAGAAAGCUAAGAUACUGGGGUAGGAGCAUCAGAAAAGGGAAAAUUACCCAGUGGUGUAAAAGUCACUGUGUGAUAGUACAUGCUUUGUCCCACUUUCUGGACUUUUCCUUUCAUUUUUUCUCUCCACAUAAUCUUUGCUCCUCCCUAAGCUUUUGAUCUUCAAAAAUCUGCAAAUCCUUCAACUGGGUCUUCUCAAUUAUAAUUUUUCCUUGUAAACUCCCAAAAGUGGGUGGGGGGGUCCAUGUGCUUUCUUUGCCAAUGUCUCUGUACACACUAGGCAAAUUCAGCAUUUUGCUUUGUGGUUUCUAAAGCUAAUUGCUCUCCCUGGAUACAUACUUAGAUGCCCUUUGGGGUCCUUGACAUAAUGAUUUCAAAAAACACUUUAUUUGUUUUGAAAAAUCACUUAGAAUAGAAACACACUUGAAUAAAAAUAUCACAUUGAUUUUAUCCAAUAUAACAAAAGAAUUCCAUGGGACAUACUCCCUCGAAUCCAAGAAUAGUGACAUAGACUAAUUGCCUAGUUCAAGCUAAUAAGUUUACUCCAAAGAGAUAUUCUAGAUUAGAUAUAUGAAGUUGGGUAAAAUUUUCAUAUGAUUUAGUAAAUGGAUUAUAAAUUCCAUCAAGAAGUUCACAAUCCAUAACCCUUCUACCUCCACGCGGAAAAUCCCAUAGUGUUGCCUUCCGUGAAAGUUUGAGUCAUGUCUUAGUCCCAAUGUCGUCAUAGAUAAUAACUUGAUUAAAGAAACUCAUUAAAAUUGUAGUGAAAAUAAGUCUUCAUUAGGCAAUAGUCGCUAUCUAUUUAUGGACUCAAACCUAGAUUAUCUAUUCAUAAUUAUGAUGAAAUUAGGGUGAAACUAAACAAAGAACUGAUUUUAAAUAUAAGAAAUUAGCAAAUCGACUCCUUCCUCCCCUUUCCGUUCUUAGUUUAUAAAUUUAACAAAAUUUGUUUUAAAAGUUUUAUAAAAACUUCAAAUUUCAUAUUAUUUUUUAUUAUUUAUAUGUCUAAAAAGAUAUAUAAAAUUAAGACAUCUAUAGAUUCUCCAAACACACGAGGAAAAAGAAAAAGAAAAAAUAAAAAAACAAGGCCAUGUUUGUAUAUCAAAAAGUUCUAAAUUCUUAAUUUUCAAUCUAUUCUCAACUUUUUCAACAAUUUACUCACAUUUUAAAUUAUUAUUUAAACAAUCACCUCAUGAAACCAACUUUUAAAAUAAUAAUAAAAAAAAACCCACCUUUUGAUUUAUUAGCAAACGAUAAUCAGAGUUUCAAAAUAUAAUAUUUUUUUAAAAAAAGGGGUGUUCGGAAUAUUUUAUAUUGUAUUCGAAUAAUUAAUUAAGGAAAUGGAUGGCGAGUCCAGAAAAAGGGCAGUGAUGGGUGGGGGAUGUGGUUGACGGCUCUGGCUUCUGUAUACGGUAGGAGGGGAGCCACGUGAGCGUGAUGACGUAGCGUGGUGGGAGCACACGUGGCAGGGUUAGAGAUUUGACGAUAGCGAGUCUGAAUGAAAACCUCAGAAGCGACAAAAGCAGCGGAGAGGGAUCCAUUAUGGUGGGUCAACCCCGUUUUUGUGGGCCCAUCUGACGUGGCCACCAUUCUCUCUCGUUAAUUACUCCUCCCCGCUGAGGUGUUUCCUUGGUGACAGCCCUGUGCUUUAUGCUUUCGCCACCAACUUGCAUAUUCCGGACGAUGCUCUCAAUUAAUAUAAAACAUUUAUUAUUUUUAUUUUUAUUAUUUUUUAUCCACCUCAUUAAAAAAUUCAUUUUGGAUUCACCCAACUUAAUAUAAUUUAUGAUAAGUACUGUCUAAUCUUAAUUCUGAUUUUAAUGAAUUUUUUCUUUUUCUUUUUCUUUUUCUUUUUAAAUUGCUUUAUAUAAAAUUUCUACCGUUACUAAUUAAUUUUAUAAAAAUAAUACCUCAAAUUUAUUUAAGAACAUUCCUAAUAUUAAAUUUAACUUAUUAAAGAAACUGAUUGAACCGAUUCUUUCUUUGAAUUUAAUAACAAGUUUAUGGAAAUUGGACAUUUAAUUAAAUUUAAUAGAUGAGUUUUAAUGGUAUAAGUUAAUCUUUUUUUCUAUAUAUCCUUCUAUUACUAAAUUUUAUUAAACUCAUAAAAUUAAAUUUAUUUAACCACAUCCGUUCUUUCAAAUCUAAUUUACUCUGAUUUAAUAACAAAGUUAUAUAAAUUUUGCAUUUAAUUGAAUUUAAAAGGCUUGAAUUUCCAUUUUUAUUUUCUUUCUCAAAGGACCUUUAAUUUUUUUAUUUUUUUUAUUUGGGAAAACUUUAGAUUUCCUUUUUGAAAUGUCUAAUAUUUGAAAUGUUCAAAAUUCAAAAAAUAAUUGUUUCACCGUUCAAUUUCUCGUCUCAAGUCAUAAAUAGAACCAUACUAAAAUUGAGAACUCGUUUCAUGUAACCUAACUUUUCUUACCAAACUUCAUUCGUCUUUCUUUUUCUUAGAGAAAAGUAAAAAGUGAGAGAGAUCUACUCUUUUUUUAUUGGGUGGUUUCUAGGUAAUUUAUGACAGUUUCAACUCUUAAAAACUGUUUAUCAAUCUUUUAUUUGAUUGGAUCAAGUUAAGUUAGCUCAACUUGAACACCCAUCCAACUCCAACAUUUUAUGUCGCUAACAUGCAUUAAUUGAUAAGAUUUAAAUAAAAAUAUAAAAUUUUAAAAUUAAUUAUUUUAUAAUUAACAUGCAAAAUAAUAGUUAAUCAAAUAAUUUGGGCAUGAUUUAAAGGAGCAUUUCCAUUGAAUUUUGAUUAUUAAAGUUGUAACUUGUAAAUCUUUAUUAUUUAAAUUUAAUAAAAUAUUUUCAGGAACAAUAAUCAUUAAAUUUACCUAGAAGAACAAAUAAUUUUUUUUUUUUUUUUUUUGUCUAAAUCCAAAAUUUUGAUCAAUAUUACUUAAUGUACAUAGUAACAAAUAUUUGUUUUUAUCGUGAUUUUAAUCUAGAAUAAUAUGAUAUUUCUUUAAAUUAUAAACUAAUUAUGACGUAAAUCAUAAAUUGUAUAAUAUUAAUGCAUAGAAAUUUUUUAAAAAAAUAAAAGAAAUGGUAUGAAAAUAUCAUUCAUGGAAUCACUGAUUUUUGUUUUUUUUUAAUGCAAUCCAAUAAAAACAAUAUUCCUAAUCAAUGAGAUUUAAGAAAUUACCAUUAUAGUCUUCAAAAAAUAGCAUCCACACAACUCAGAUGUACUCAAAAUUUUAGCUUAAAAGUGCUUCUAGGUUUCCCAUAAAACAAUGUUUUUCAUUUUAAAUUUUAAAUUCAGGAAUAAUAACCAAAAUAGUCUACGUGUCUCAGUAUUAAGUCCUAUGAAAUUGUCCUUGUUGAGUAAUUACAGAAAUUAAAUUAAAUUAAACAUUUUUUAAUUAAUGAAAUAAAAAAAUAAAAUUGAAAAGAAUUUAUUGUUUUACUUGUGAUGAAUGAUUCAGUGGAUCAGGUAUUGAGAAGAAAUGAAUUAAUGAUUUUAAUUAGUCAUUAAGCAAGUUAGGUAAUGAAUUGAAAACAAAUUUCCAGUUCAAAAUUUGUGGCGAGGAAUGCAUUUAAUGGUGUCAAUCAAUAGAGAGAUUGAAAUUUAUAGGCAGAAAAUUUCAAAAUCAUUUUUAAUUUUUAAGUAAAAAUGAAAAAGGGGAAUAAUUUGAAAUAUUAAGAAAUGAAAAAAUAAAAAUUAAUUCCAGAAAUGAAUUUUGCUAAUUAUCGUAGGGGAAAGUGAGUCAUCUUGGUUUGGGACAAGAAAAAGGAAUCGGAGUUCAUUAAUUACGAAGAUGUAAUUUGAUAUUUUAGAUAAUAUGCCUUUUUAAAUAGUUUUUUUUUCUUGUGUUCGAAUUAGGAUAUGGCAUGACACGUGGAGAGAAAAAAAGUGGGGGUGAGAUGAAGUGGAGACAGGCGUGUGACCAUAAUGUUUUCCAUUAUAAACAAAAGAUAUUUAGUGGCUAGUGAGGGUGGAAAAGUGGAGGGGUAGCCAAUAACAAGAUCCAAGAAGAGGGAAAAUAGGAAAGAAAUGAACUCUACGUGGCGAGACCUUGAACUGACACGUCAUGAAAAUGACAUGGCCACGCUGUACUGAUCCAGUCAGUGCAUAAUGUGAACUCCGCCAUAAGCGCGUGGAGAAAAAGCGAGAAUACUGAGGUUGUUUUGGUAACUUCGAUAUUGCUUAUUAUUAUUGUUAUAUAUUUUUUUAUUCUGGUUUUGUAUUUUUAACUGUCAUGCUGUAAAAUUUGACCGAGUGAGUAGGUUUUUCAUUUUGGCCUUUUUAGGGUGGGACCCGGUACACGUCACCGUAGUUGCCACAUCCACCAACGUGACAAUAGCCCCGACGCGAGGAAACAAUUCUAGAUCGGCAGCCAAUGGCGGGCCCCACUCAUCUCGGAAGUUCCGUGACCGUGACUCCAGUUUCCUCCCCCGCUGCUUCGCCACCCUGCUCCGUCCGAUCAGAUCAAAUCAACGGUCCAGAUCUGGCACGCUCGUCGACACCCACGAACCUCGCCAGAUAGGACUUGCUUGUUCAUUGGAAUCUGCUUAUCGCCACGUCAGAUUGCAAUCCGAGGGUGGAGAAACUUUCUACCAUUAAAACAAACGGAAUCUGGGCCGUUGAAACCCAAUUCCGUAGCUAUCAGUGGGGUCAGGGGUGAAAUGGGUAAUGUGAUAUAUAAAAGAAUAAAUAAUAAAAAAGAAAACGUGGAAAACAAAUAAUGAAUUUGACCGGCUGGAACGAUAUUUUCUGCGGUCACCUAGAUUCCUUGUGAUCGUCAUGUUGCUUUUACCAAGGUCAUCCCAACCGGGAAUAGCCGGUGGAGAUAUCAAACAGGGAAAGUGAAGUGGCGAAGGGGUGGGUUUAAUAUUAUAUACAUGUGUAUAUAUAAAUUGUUGUGAGGGUGGAUGAGUAUUAUUUCACUAAAUUUGCCCCUGAAUAAUGUGCCAGAUCGGUAGUGAGUAAACAUGGAAGCUUGCGAAGGAAGGAAAAACAGCUGACACGUGGCGGUCAUCUACAGAAAUGGUUAGUGCUUCAAGAGUCUAGGCCAUCCUACGGCUCCUUUUCUGCCAUGCUGGUGCUGGGCAAUUAAAACCGUCGGAUGCAUUUCGGAAUGGAUGGUUCAGAUUCGGACAUGCCACGGCGUGAUUAAUCUUUGGCCGUCCAUUAGGCCUUGGAGUGGGUUUCGCGAGAGUGAAAUACCGAAAAGAUGAUGAGAUGAGAGCACAAAAAGAGAAGGGUGAGAGAGAGAGAGAGAGAGAGAGAGAGAGAGGGGGGAGAGAAGCAGAAAGAGAGAGGAGAGAAAGAAGAAGAUAAGCGAAAGCAUAGAUCUUUCAAGUUGGGUGAUUGCUGCGUGAAAGAUCUUUAGAUUGAAUCAGUAUUUGGAAGGGGGGAAGUCGAAUCUGAGAGUUUUCCGGUGGUGCUGGAAGCGGAGUUCGGCGAAUUAUGGUUGUAGGCUGGUGAUGAGUGGUGGGAUUAAUGAUUUGGGUGUAGCUGAUUUGGAGAGACAAGGGUGAGAGAGCGGAGAUGGACAGAAACAGGGAAGCCAGAAGAGCCAGUAUGGGAACCUCAAACGGCUUGUCCAGACGAAGGCACAGAAGUAGCAGUCUCAGAGACUCUCCAGGUUCACACUUUUACCAGAUCUAACUCUUAUCCAUCGAAACACACUUCUCCGAUUCAAGCCCACACGGCAUCCUUCUAAUUCUCUUUGCUGCCUUCUGUUUUCUUUUGUUUUUUGCAGAAGAGGAUGGAGCGGUGGAGCUGCCGGAAACGGCGAGGUUACGGGAUCGGGGAAGCAAGAAGGAUCGAGAUCGUGAGAGAGAUCGAGAUCGAGAUCGGUCCAGUCGGAGCAAAAGGAGAAGAGGCGAUAGGUUGAUGCACGGGAGCAAUAGAGAAGAUGGUGGAGAGGAGAGUACGGAGGAGAGUGUAAAUGAUGAGGAGGAGGAGGAUGAAGAUGAUGCCGGAGCCGUCAGGAUGCUACCGCCGAAUCCGACGUCCUUGUCUUCAUCCAUGUCUAAUCAUCAGCACCGGAAGAGUUAUCCACCGGCCAAGGUUGUUAGAGCGCCGCCGGUGUGGAAGGCCGCUGACGAGAUGAUCGGUGUGUCGGUUCCGAGAAAAGCUCGCUCAGGUGGACAAUAGAUGGAAAGAUGAAGGGUUGGAGAUUGCUUUCUUCUUCUAUUGAUAAGUUCUUGGGUUGAGUCUGAUUUUUUCAUGGUUUUGCAUUUCAGCAUCUACGAAGAGGUCGCAUGAAUGCUGGGCUUCGGGUGUUGGAGGAGUGCCGGGGGAGCAAAUUCACCGGCAAGCAUCCACGUCGCCGGUGAGACCAAACCUAGCUGCUUCAACGGCGGCGGUAGCGGCUUCGCCGGCUUCAAUCUCUCCUUCUUCUUCUAAUGUCUCAAUUCGGAAGAAGAUGGUCAGUUCUUGACACCAUUCUUUCUUCUUCUCACUUGUCAUUUUUCUUUCUUUAACAGAUUGUUCAAUUAUGUAACAAUCUCUGUGUUGUUGCAGAAGCCCAAUGGACCAAAGCUGCGUCCGCCGAAAUCAUCAUCCAAGGCUUCUUCCUCAAUUCAGGAGGAUAUCGAGAUUGAGGUGGCGGAGGCGUUGGCCGUGAUGAGACAGUCGCAGGGACCCUCUAAGCAAGAAAUCAUGGCAAACGAUUCACUAAAGUUUGAUUCUCGAGAGGUGAAUAAAUCGACUAAUGAAGCGAAAUCCAGAGUUUCUUCGCCGAUCUCCAAUUCUCCUUCUUCCGCCCAACAGUCAUCUUCUAUGCUGCCGCAAAAUUCUAACUCCUCUGCACCUCCCUUGUCCGCCGUUGGUGGGUUUCUUGGGCUUUUAGAUGCUCUAAUAAUUUGCUUUUUCAGCUGAGAAAUCUGAAAUACGUUACUUUCCGUGCGAAUCUGCAGCACCUAAGAGGAAGAGACCGCGACCUAGGCACGAAGAUGAGAAUCCGGCGAUUUUCGGCGUGCGGAACAGCCCCAUUUCUUCAACAGCCAAGGUUGACAUCGAUCAGCCUGCCAAGAUCGAAUCAACAUCUCCCAAUUUGGAGAAAAACCCAGGAUCCGCCAACGAAAAUGGGGGAGUUUCGUACGAUUUGAUGAACUCCCAGUCUGUACCUGCAUCGUCGGAGCCGCAACCGGAGUCAUUGAGGCUAGGGGAUUCAAAACCUUUGACUGAAGAAGCUGAGAGUCGAGAUGUGGGUGUGACCAAGGAGGAACCAUCUUCGCCCGAAAAGGAAUCUCCUCUCCCCAAAUUGGAUGAUGAUCGUCAAGAUGCGACAGGGACUAAAGCGUGAGCAUCAAAGAUUUUUCUUUUUUCCGACGUUGAGCUUCGAAAUUUUCUUGCUCCCUCUGAUUUUUCAUCCUUUUUGUUUCUGAUUAUUCAGGAACUCAACAAUUUCUGACGUUGAGAAACAGCGAGAAGAGAAGUUCCAGAUAGAUCUAAUGGUGAGAGUGGUCUCAUAGCGAAAAGUUGAAAUUUUUUUAUCUUAAUUUCCAAUCCGGAUUUUCUGACUUUACCUUUUCAUUUUUUUGCUCUUGAUUUUUUUUUUUUUUUUUUUCAGGCUCCUCCUCCCCAGAUGAGAUCGUCUCCAGAAAGGGACGGUGAGAUCAAUUUUGUUGCAGCAGAUCCCAAACCUAUGGUCUCUGACAUGGAUACUGUGAGUAGGCCAGCCUUGAUGUCUUGUGGCUUUUAGGGGGUGACCCAGAGUGGUGACGGAUCGAUGUGUUUAUUUUGGUUUUGGUGCAGGAAAUGAAACCCAUGGUCAAUGAAGGCGAAAAGGUGGUGAAAAUAGGCAAGGAUGAGGCAAUGAAUGCGGAACCUGAGGAGAAGAAGGCAAAAUCCAUAGUUGACGAAGCUGAACCACAUAAGUCAAUUGUUAACAAGGAGAGAAUUAUUGACCUCCAGCUUGAUUUGGAGAAGCAUGAUCGUGAUACUGGCAAUGGUAGUGUCGGUAGCAGCAAGCUAAACCAGCAUACUCCGAAACAACUACAGCAACCGAGAGCUCUGAAAGAAGAACAGAACACUGAGAAAACUGGUAAUUUUUUUAUUUUCUUUUGAGAGUUUUUGCUCGAGGACAUUGUGUUCUCCGAGUUUUAAACCUGCCAUUGUUGAUUGAUGGUUUUAUUGUUGUAAUUGGCAGCACAAUCGUCCGGCUCUCUACCUUUGCCAAUGUCUGUAGCUAGCUGGCCUGGCGGGCUUCCUCCUAUGGGGUACGGUUGGGUGAAUUAAUUAUACAUUCAUGCAGUUUUGGUUAUGGGCAGUGUAUCAGCGUCCUCAUUUCUCCUGUCUUGGGAAGUAAUACUGUUGUUUUUGUCAGAUAUAUGGCACCUCUACAAGGAGUUGUAUCCAUGGAUGGGAGCACAGUCUCUUCAGCAGCGAUACAGGUAUGUGGCAUUUUUGUUUUCCUUUUGUUCAGUCUUGAUGUUAACUUCUUCAUACGUUCAGAAGCUAUCACGACCAAUUUAAUGAGUAAAAACUGCACCUGUGCAGCCCCCGCAUUUCCUUUUUUCUCAACCACGGCUUAAGAGGUGUGCAACCCAUUGCCACAUUGCUUGGAAUAUUUGCCAGCACCAGCAAUUUACGAGGAUGAACCCUUUCUGGCCAGCAGCAGCCGGCACCCCGUCUCUAUUUGGUGCCAAGCCCUGCAAUCUCAAUGUUCUGCCCUCUGUAGACUUGCAUGGGAACUUUCCAGGUAGGAAUGCAAACCCUUUGCAGGACAAGGGACAGGGUCUCGCUAUCUUUUCUGGUCAUAGUGGGAAGGACAAAGGCUCUCAAGCUGGUAACCCUGUAGAUGCUGCACAGAGGAAGCAGAUUUUGCUUCAGCAAGCUUUACCCCCAGGGGCACCUAGCAGUAUACUGGUAUAGUUUCUAUUUUUAAAUCCCAUCCUUGUCGAAUUAUUUAUAUAUAAUGUUUUUGGAAAAUUGACUCACUUGUUAUUGAAUUUUAGCAUGGUCCUUUCAUCUUUCCUUUGGGCCAGCAACAAGCAGUGGUAGCAGCUGCUUCUGCACGACCUGGGUCUGUUAAGUCUCCUCCACCCACCAGCAGUGCUGCUUCAUCUAGUGCAUCCAAUUCUGCUCCAGUGAGUGCCUCAACAACAGCAGCAGCCACCACCCCUUUCCCAGGCACAGCAACAGCCAUGAGCUUCAACUAUCCUAAUUUGCCUGCCAAUGAUACUCAAUACUUAGCAAUAUUGCCGAACAAUGGCUAUCCCUUCCCAAUCCCUGCACAUGUUGGAGGUCCACCUGCUUAUAGAGGAACUCAUGCUCAGGCAGUUCCCUUCUUUAAUGGGCCUUUCUAUUCUUCUCAGAUGCUCCAUCCCUCGCAGCUUCCGCAGCAGCAGCAGCAGCAACCAACCCAACAGCCGCAGCAAAUUCAACAUGGUCAUCAAAAUACAAGCAUCUCCAGUGGUUCCUCAUCAUCCCAGAAGCAUUUGCAGAAUCACCCACAACAGCAGCAGCAGAGGCCACAUGGCAGUGGUGUCAGCGGUGGGAGUGGAAGCUUGCAGAGCUUUCCUGCACCGAAAAACCGCCCAUCACAGCCACCAGUUAUGCAGCAGCCUCAGCAGCUACAGCAGGCCCAUGUCCAACUACCACAUCAAGCUCGCCAACUAGAAGCUGAGGUUGGCAGUGAAGACAGCCCCUCCACUGCUGAUAGCAGAUUGUCUCGAGGUAGUCAGAAUGUCUAUGGUCAAAAUUUUGCAAUGCCCCUUCAUCCCUCAAACUUUGCUUUGGUGGCCCCCCCUGCAUCAUUGGGUAGUGCCAGUGGCACAAGUGCUAAUCAUGGUGAAAAGAAGCAGCAGCAGCCACAGCAGCAUGGCUUGAAGGCUGGUGUUGAAUCCCUACAAUCUCAAGCAUUUGCCAUGUCAUUUACUUCCAUAAAUGGUGCUGCUGCAGCUCCUGGCCUUGACAUUUCAUCAAUGGCACAGAACCAUGCAAUUCUUCAAAGCCUUCCAGAGGCUGCCAGGCAUGGCUAUAUCAUUGCCACUGCACAAGCGGCACAGCAAAAGAAGAAUUACCGGGCUACAGAAGAAGGGAAAUCUGGCAUUGGUGAUUCUUCUAGUGUGGAAGAAGAAAGAAAGGCUUUGGCAGGGAAGGCAGCAGCAACUGCUGGGCAGUCCAUUGCUUUCUCCAGACCAGAUUUGCAAGAUACAUCAGUUAGUACAAUUCCAGGCAAUGGUGUCAUUGAUAGUUCCACUCGAACCCUCAACCUCAGCUCUGCUCCUGCUCGAGCUUCAGCUUCUGUUUCACCAGCCACUGCAAGUGCUACUAAUGCUCCCAAUUCUCAGCAAAGGCAGCAACAGCAGCAGCAGCAGCAACAACAACAGCAGAUGAUUCAGCUUCAAAAGCAGCAUCAGUUUGCAACUGUUGCGGCUGCAGCAGCUAGAAGUAAGACACCAGCAACUAGUAAUGGAAGUGUUUACUCUGACCAUCUUCCUUCAUCAUCUUCCAUGGCUGCCAAGUUUCCUAAUGCUCUCUCUGCUUUUCCGCCAAACUUUGUCCAAGGCAGCAGUAGCCCAGGUCAGUCCCCUCAAUGGAAGAACUCUGUCAGGACAUCCACCUCCCAAGUACCAACGCUAGCUCUCUCCUCCUCAACUGCAUCAUCCCUCAAAAACAUUUCCCAACAGCAAGCCCGAAGUCAGCAAAGCCACAUGCAGAUAUCAUUUGCGGCUAACCCAAAAUCGUCAGCAGCACCACAAGGUCAACAACCUCCCAACAGUAACCAGUCCCCAUCCCCUCCAAUGGUGGUUGGCUCUCCAACUUCAUUAUCCAAGAGCACUGGUGGAAGCCCAAGGACAACUCCCGCCUCCACAGGCAACAAAACUGGCCAAGCUUCGUCAUUGUCAUCGCAGCAGGCUAAGAACUCACCAUCAGUGCCUAGCCGGAAGUCAUCACCGGUUGGUGGAAGGAAUGUUCCAUCAAUACUGGGCAAUCCCCAUAUCACAUCUUCAAACAAUGGACCUAAGCCUCAAAUGCAAACACUGCAGCAGCAGCAGCAGCAUUUAUCAAAGCAGGCAUUGCAGCAAACACAGCUAUUCUUCUCUAGUCCCUACUUGCAAACACAAGGUCCACAUUCUACAACUUCCACCUCUUCAGCUUCUAGUGGGUAUUAUCUUCAAAGACGAAGAUCAGAACAGCAUCCGCUACAGCAGCAACCACAAGGAUCAUCAGGGACAUCGUCAACCGGCAUGUUGACUUUGUGUCCACCUGUUACUCUUGCUAGUGCCAGCACUUCUGAUCCUGCCAGAGCAAUUGCGGCUAGCAAUAUGAAAGGAGGUGGUCUGCCAUCACAGGGAAUCCAUGCUGCCCAAUAUGCUGCUGCACAAUCCCCUGGGAAUCCUCAUUCCCUCAUGCAUGCAAGCUUCCCUUAUGUUCACGCUGUACCCACAGCGGUUCAGGUGAAGCCAGCAGAGCAGAAACAGCCUGCCGGUGAGUAGAUCUAUAUCCCUUCGCGCUUUACAUUGCAUCCCCGUUUAGGGAAGGCAGGAAAAAAAUAAAUUAAGUUCAAUAAAAGAUUUAGAUUAAAAUGGGGAUUGUAAAUUUAUGAAGGGAACGACGGUUUCUUGCCCAGGAAAUGACAAUUUGCGUGCCCUCUGGCAGCCUGAGAAGAAAUGAGAGAGAUGUACGGACAUUUGAAGCUGUUGGCAGCAUUGAGAGAGAGACAAGUCGGACCAGAACCUGAAGCCCACAAUUUUGGAAAGCGAGUGGAAUGUGUGGGUGAAAAUAUAGGGGGACCGUCCCCAGUGGAAUGUUCUUCAAGUGGAAUGGUGUAUCUAUCUAUGUACACAUGUUUAUAGUCUGACAGGGUUGAUGGAGAAGUCUAAUUAAUUUGAUUGGUUUUAAUGGUUCGUGAGAAGAGGAUGGCAAUGCUAUGGCUAUUGGAGGAAAGGCUGAUCAGCUUUUUUUGUAGGGCAUAAGAGGGAAGAGGAAAGAGGAAGAGGGAGAAGAUAAAAGAUCCACCUUUCUUUCUUUUGGGGCUAUAAUGGAGGUUUCUUUUCUCUUUCUUUGUUAAUUUUUUCUUUUUGUUUUGGGUUUCUCUUUUGGGUUCUUAAUUUUCCGGAAAGAGCAGUGAAAAACAGUUAUCUUUUGACCAAAUAUAUGCACCACCACCAGAGGGGGGUCUAUAUGUAUAUGUCUGGCACAUAUAAGAAGUAAACCCUCUCAAUUUUUUCAUUUAAUCUGUGCCCCUCCUGUGUUUCAAUCUGAUGAUGAUCAUGAUGAUGAUGAUGGAUGUCCAUUGACGUCUGUUUGAACCUGUUGGAGAUUUGGAGACUUGAACUUCUAAUCCCUUUCAUUGUCUCUUUAUAUACCAUGAAAAUUAUGAUGAUUGAAAAUAAAAGGGUGGCAGCAGGCCGCUACUCCAUUCCAUAUCUUCCAAGUGUUGGACGUGGGCCUCUUUUACCUAUUGUUCAUUUUGGUGAUAUAACAAAGGAUAGAGAGAAGGAUACAGGUGUACCCCCUCAAAUGGUACGGGUGGCCCCUAAGAAAUGCAGUUUGGGGGUGGGGUGGGGUCCCUGUAAAUAUUUUUUUAUUUAUAAACAUAAAAUUUUACAUUGAAGGGUAAAAUAAGCCAAAGAAUAGUAGGCGUAGGGAGAACAUUUCUGAUUUCUGGUUGACAAAUGAAGGUAGUUGAAAAGGGCGCGGCUCUUUAAUUGUCAGUAUGUUACACGUGGCCCUCUCUCUGUUUUCGGGUAUCAUAGCUUUUCCCCUUAUCUUUCUUUCAUUUUCUAGAAAUAUUAAAAUAAACAUCUUUCUCCAUCAGACACACCGAGUUUCCAAUUUUACCCUUUUCAAUGCAAAAUCUCACCCCCCAGCCCCGGCCACCAUGGGGUUUGGUCCGGUCCAGAACUCUACUAGUGAACAUGUGUCCUGACACCCCUUCCCUGUAUUGGUGGAUUUUCUUUUUCCUACUUUCAUCCAUACACGUGCUCUGCUUUUUCUGUUUUCCUGUUGUCCCCUUUAUUUUGAUUUUUAGUGUAAGUGUUUGAAAAUGGGGGUUUAGGGCAGGUGGGGAUAUCUUUUAGGGGCCUGUGGGCCAUAUGACCCUACCCCUCAUUGCCGCCAAAAAGAAGCCAAGAGAGGAAAGAAAGAGAAAAUAAAAAAAGGCAAAGUGGUGGGGGAUGUGGGGGAGGAGUGGGGGCAGCCCAUGCUUAAUGAGAAUAUGUGGGGGUUUUCUAAGUUAUAUGGUUGUUUCACUUCUUUCCUCUUUCCCUCAUCUUUCAAGACCUGAAAAAGACACCAUAUUUUUAUUUUUCAUUUGGGUGAGUGAACACUGGAAGACCCCACCAUAGGGAAUCAAUUAGUGGGGAAAGCAACCCAUUCCCUCAUCACUCUAGGAUAAAAAAAAAAGGACUUUUUAUACUUUGAAAGAUUUCCUUGUCUCACCUUCCGCAAUGCAUGUAUAGAGAGAGAGAGUGAUUGGGUGAUGUAAAACUGUAAAAAGAAAUAUAAAAUAAGAGCAUAGAGAUAAAAGAUACACCAACUCAAAAGUUGUUCAUGUGGGAUGGGUUCCUGUUGUCUCUUUGAUUGCCUAUACAUUUGUCUUUUACUCAUUACAUAAAAUGGUACUUGAGAUAUUCCUUUAUCUCUCAUUUCAUUAUUAUAUCGAUCAGGAUUUGAAUUGAAAAGCAUAAUUUAUAAAAUUAAAAAAAAAAAAAAAGCACCAAUUAGGUCAUCCAUGUACCAUGUUUUUUUCUCCCUUUUCUUUUGGUCAAUAGUGAUGCUUUGUUCCCAUUCCAAUGAAUUGACUUCCACCCCAUUCAGACACGAAAAGCCACCAACUUGUCUAAUUAGCAUAGAGGUCAAAUUACAGUGCUGAUUCUAUAGGUAUAAAAAAAAACAUGAUUAAUUAGCCCCAUAUCUACUUUGUAUCAAGUCUAAUUCUAUUGUUUUUUUCUUUGAUUUUUUUUUGUCUUUUCCAUUACUUCUGUCUCUUUAUUGAUACCACAUUGAUCUUAUUAUUUGUAUCACUAUUCAAUGAUUUAAACUUUUUCAUAUCAAUUCAAUGAUCAGGAUUAAGAGACCGACACAUACUUUAAAGCUUUUCUAAACAUAGAACUAAUAAAAUGUAGAAGCGAACUUAUUGAAAGUAUGUAUUGACAUAAAUAAUAACAAAUGGGUUCGAAUGUCCUCUUUUAUUUAAGGGUUUUUCUUCCUUUCUUAUUUUUUCUUUUUAAAAAAUAAAAUAAAAUAAUCUAGAUAUAAUCUUGGACAACUCAUGGAAGUAAGUGAGGAAAUGGAGGGGCCCUGGCCUUCAAACUAAGGGAGGUUCCCAUUGGGGGUGGACCAUGGCGCAGGCGCAUAAAGCUUAAAUUGGAUAAUCAAACAAAGAGGCAAAGCCUCAAAAAUUGUGGGUCAUGUAGAAAAGGGACACAUAAGAAAGGAAAAAUGACCCAUAUCAAUUAAUGACCCAAGAUACCUAGUUAUAAUACUCGAGAACAAAAAUGAAAAGGUUGCAUCUACAAAUAUGGGGUCAUGUUUCCCUAUGAUCAAACCUUUAGUGCAAGAUUCAUAGACUUAUCCUAAUGAAUGGAUUUUAGCAUUUUUAGAGUGAAUCAUGUUUUAAAAAAAGUAAUGCUUGACUUUCUCAUGGGAUAUUUAUGUAUAAAUAUUUUUUAUUUUAUAUAACAAAAAACUGUAUAUUAUAUUGUUUAUGUAAUAUAGACAAUUCAACAAAUUUAUUAAGAAUGGUAUAUCGAUUAAUGGCGGGGAUAACCUAAUUUUGAUAUUUUUGCUAUUGAACUUUCCAUCCAAAACAUGCUUGACGAGAGAUAGGAAUUUAAAAAAUGUUGAAAGAUAUUUUUGUCUAAAAUAUAUGGAUGCUAGCAAAUUAAUGUGAUUGCUAGAAAAUGGUGAAAUAUCAUAACCUUACUUAUUUGAAUGGGUGAAUUAAGCUAUUAAAAACUUUUUAAAAAGUUUCCGUUUAUAUUAUAAAUAAGUAAUAAUUAAUGCAAAUUAGUAAAGAGUGAGGGGAAGAAAGAUGUAAAUGCCAGCAAUCCUACUACUCUUCCCGAUCUCCUUUCCAAGUAAGGGUUCUACAAAACAAAGCUUCAAACCAAGCCUCCAAUCUUAUACGCUCUGAUUUAUGGCUCCAAUUGGUGUUAUACUCCCUUCAAGUUCAACAUCAAUUUGAAACCAAUCAACUUUGAUCAAAUAAAUACAAUUUUAAUACGCUCAAUCUUAACACAUUGAUGCUCAAUACAAACAAAUAGUUAGGAUGAAAUCAAGAUGGGGCAUUAAAGGAUUUGCAAGUGAAUGAUUCAACGUACUUGAAUUGAGAGUUUUGAAUGAGAGCAAAAGAUAGGUAAACAAGUUAAUGCGAGCGUUUUCUUAUCAAUAAAUGCAUGAGGCCUCUCCAAUUUAUGGAAAACAGUCUUGAAUAUCUAGAAUAACAAAAGUUAUUAUUGACCAGUCAAGUUUCGAUUUAAUUGAUUGAUUAAUCGUUAAUACAUUUAAUACUCAGCAAGUAAUUGUUUGUCCCUUUUAAGAUUCAAUUGACUUUCAACCAAGCCUAUAUAUAUAUAUAUAUAUAUAUAUAUAUAUCAAGGGGUGGUUAGGUGUGAUUGAGCACCUCUAGAUAGCACAUAAGUGCUCUCAAGUAGUGUUUGAAUGGCUAAUGGAACACAUAAGUGUCCGAUUUUAAAUUCAAUUUCAAAUAAAAAAUGCUCUAACUUCUUAAUUCUCUAAAGCCCAUUUCAUGCCACUUGUAAAAGUUAUUAUCAUUUUCAUAACUCUUUACACUUGUGCUAUUCUUAAUUUAUUUUUUAGUAUCCUUGAAUCUUCAUUGAAGUGUAAGUCAUAAGAAAAUAUAAAAUGUCUUAAACCAAAAUGAAUGAAACAAAACUCUUUAACUUACUAAUCAGACUAAUGAACUAACACAAACAUUUUAUAUAGGAUUAGAAAAUUUAAUACUAAUAAAUGAUUGUUUUUAUUAGUGGGAAGUAGAUUAUAUUAAAAAGUAGUCAAGGUUUUGCUAGUGACAUUUAGACCAACGAUACAUAUUGCUUUGACGCUAAAUUUUUUUUUGGACAAAAUGUAGACUCCUCAUGUAAUAAUGAAGAGGUUAAAAUAAAAUUACAAUACAAAUCACAUUAAAACUAUUAUGGAAGUUUGUUUUUCCUAUUAGUAUUUUAACAUAGACUUUGAUGUAAUUGUUUUCAUUUUUUUUUUUACCUUUUUUACUAAACAUUAACACGUAGUUCUCACAUUAAGAGUGAACCAAUAGAAAUCUCUUGUGCUCUUGUGCUUAUAUAUAUUCAAAUACUUAUACAUAUUAGGAUUAAAUCACCUUAAUCUUAUUUUUUGAAAAUAAUAAUAAACAAAUACAAAAAAUUAAAGGACAAGAACACAUAGGAUUUGUACUCAUUCUGAAAAUAGAAUAACAAAAAAAAAAAGAGUAAUAAAUAAAAUAAUGAGCAAAGGUAGUAAAACCCUCUUAAUUAUGAGGAAAACCUUCACAAAGCAAGAUCGAAAAAACAUUCAUUAUGAAGACAAAAUUAUAACAUCUCUUUUGAUAACAUAAAAGCUUACAAAAGUUUGACAAACUUUUUUUUUGGAUGAAUAGUAUAAAAGUGGAGGCCUUAUUUUAUAGCAUAAGGAAGCUCCCUCUUUCAAAUUUCCUCCUGAUUUUUUUUUCUUUUUUCAUAAUUGCAUGUGUCGACACUUUGAAUACAUAGAAAACAUGUUGAGAAUUUCAUGUUACCUUGGUUAAAUUCAAGAAAUCAUUGAACUCAAGACUACUUUAUUGAGAUGAUUGUAUAGUCUUUAUGUUAGUAUCUGCUACUAACUUUUAUAUGGUUGUAUUAGCAAAGUGCAUGUUACAAAUGGUGUGUCCAUCAUUGUUAAUCAUCACAAUCAAUCCUAAACCCAUCAUCUAUUUUCAAUCAGCCCCUUUGCCAAAAUUCAGUUUCUCUUUCCCUCUUUUCAAAUGUAUUCAAAAGUCUUUUUAAUUACAUUGAAGAAAUUAUUCACAAAAAGCAAAAAUAAAAAUAAAAAUAAAUAAAUCCAUGCCUCCUAUUUUGUGUAAAAAUGAGAGUUCAAUUCUGAGGAGUAUGGUAUAAGUGAUGGUAUUAAUAAUGAGGAUUUGACUUGGUGGGACUUUGUGAGAAUGAUGCAGUCUAAAUCACCCACUCUCAAUCACAUGAAUUGGAUUUCUUAUUUAACUUUAACAAACACUCCCAACACCACCUAACUUAACCAAUCUUCCCCUUCAGAAGACACACAAUCUAUUUAAUGCUCUUCGUGUGGACUUUUGGGUUUGAUGUGGUGGGUGAUGUUGAAGGAAUAGAACCGGAUUACCAUCCUACCACCAUAGGAAAUUAUUGGUUCCCACUUCAGUACCUUCUAGCCUCGGCAUUCCUCCAAAGAAGGAAUGUUCGGAUGUAUUCCGAUUAAUUUCUUUGAUGCUUAAGUUGACUUAGAAGAAUAAAUUUAAGAGGGGAAAUUUUUCAUAACUGUUUUCUUUACCAUUCUUCUUAUUUUAUUGAAUUGAGUUUCUAUAACCUUCAUUUUUAAUUUAGUAUUCAUAUUGUAACAUCAUUUCAAUAAUAUUGUAUAUCCUACGAAUGGGUCAAACUCGAAACAAGGUACUUAUCGAAAUGACCCAUAAAUGAAAUGCCUAUUCAAAUAACCUAUUAUCAAUGCGUCGACAAGAUUAAAAGAAAUUCAUAUUUAUAUAGUGUUAGAAACUUUUCUCCCCUAUUUGAUGUGGGAUGUCACAAACAUUCCUAUAUAGACACAACGUUCUCGUUUUGUUCCAUGGGAUUACGGGACCAAAUGGAUUAAUACUCUUAUGGGACAUCGGUUCUGAUACCAUUUGUAUUAGUUUACUCCCAACUAUAUAGAUAUUGUCCACUUUGAAUCCAAAUGGACCCUCAUGAUUUUAAAACACAUUUAUAGAAUUAAGAGAAAUUCAUACUUAUAUAGUGUCAUGAACUUUCUCCCGAUAUGAGAUAUCAAAAUAAUAGAAUAAAAUUAAGGUAAAAAGUAAUUAAAAGAUAAGAUGGAAUUCAUUUUUGGGGAGGUAUCUCUUUCUUAGUGCGGAUGACCAAGUCAUAAACAAAUUGAAAAAUGGAAAAUAGUUGACUAAUUGUAUAUCCCUAUUGUAAAAUAUGGCCAUUUUCAAAUGUAAUUAAUAGGGUCAAAGGCUACAUCUUUUAUCUUUUAUAAGAGAGCAAUCACUGAAGCCCAUGUUUUGAAGCUCUGUUUCAAUCACAAAAGUGUGAAGUAUUCUCCACCCAAAAUGCUACCCAAAAGUAAUCAAAGAUGAAAGAAUAAAACUAGAUGGAAAGAUGGAAGUACUAUGUCAUCAAACUACCCAUUUAAAAAAAAUAGAAAAAGAAAAAAUUAAAUGUGGGAUAUGGCAACACGCGUUAUAAAAUCGCGUGGGAACAGUAAAAGAGGAGCGGUGACCCAAAUCGUGGAGCACAGGCAGGUGACACAAAAAGUAGGGCUUUGAAAAGGGCCGGGGGGAGUGGGGCCCAAGGUUGUUUAACUGUGUCCAUAGAAGACAGCAUUGUUACAAAUAAGAUAACAACCAGAAAAUCAGGGGGGAAGUGGGUCCCACUUUCCCAUUUGUCAGAUGUGUCAGAAUGUCCAAAAUUCCACACCCACACCCUUAUUUAUUUAAUAAUAUUACUUUUUUCUAUCACGAUUCACAGAUACAUAUAUCUCACUAGAGACUAGAGAGAGAGAGGGGGGAGCGGGGCCACAUUCAAUGCUGCGCCGUCCCACCAUUUUAGGGUGGUCCCCACUACCUGGACAGUCAUUCUGAGAUUUCGGUGGUGGAGCCCACCCCACCCACAUUCCCCCUUUUUGAAAUUGACUGUGAGGGUGCUGUCACUCUAGCAUUCUAGCAUUCUAGCACUUUUGCGGUGUUCUGAUUGGGCCUUGGGCGUCAUAGGAUGAGAGGCGGGUGAUUCUAGGGUUUCUUUAAGAAAGCGCAAAUGUACGACAUUGGAGGAACAGCAACCGUCUUCAAUCCGUCAAAACUAAAAUAUUGUCCUCCGUCCCAUGAUGUGAUGGCGGACCUAUGUGGCAGUUUCCUCAUUUCCAAAAAAAAAAAUAAAUCGUUCAAGGGUGUUUUUGGUAAUCAACAAUUUUCAUUUUUCUUUUAAUUUCCAACAUAUUAAUUCAAAUCAAAUGUGACCCAAUCCCUCCAACCAUAUAUAAAGUAUUUUCAAGUGCCGUCUGUUUUUAGUAAGUUUAAAAAUAAAUAAUUUUAACGUUAAAAAAUAUUAAAUAUAUUUACUAAUUCUAAUUUUAAUUUUAAUUUUAUAAAUGAAAGGUAAAAACAUAUUUUGUGUUAUUUCAAUAUUCAUAUGGUAGUUUAUAAAAUAAACUGUAACAUAUAAUUUCUAAUCCCGUGAUUAGAAACUCCUAGAUUAAUAAUUUAAGAACUUAAAUUUUUUUUGUUUUUUACUUUCAGGGUAACAAGAAAAUUAUCUUUUUAGGUUAAAGAUUUAGACCGAUGAUAAAACUAGUAGAAUUUACCCCUUAUUGGUAUUGAUGGAACAUUUUUUGCAAUAGGUCUAAUUGCUUUUUAUUAAACAAACUUGAACUGGGUAAUAUUGGAUUGUCCUUAAUGAUAAUUUGAAAAGAUAAAUUUCCGUAUAUUAUUUAAUGAUAUGAGAGAAAUUUGGCAAACUAACCCACUUGAAAAAAAAAAUAAUUUUUAACAAAAACCAAAUCAUUUAUCAAACAACUCUCUAUGCAUGUGGUCAAUCUAAUUUCUUAAUCUCAAAAUAUCAUUUGAUUACAUCAAAUUAUGUUAAAAAAUAGUACAUGACCUAAAAAUAAUAAUUAAUUAAAAAAGUCAUUAUUAUAAGCUUAUUUAGAUAAUCUGAUUCCAGUUGUAUAUUCCAAAGUUCCCAAAUACCCAAGCACUUAAUUUUUUAAGCCACCUUGAUUAUUUUAAUGAAAUUUUCAUUAUUUUAACCAAAAGAUUCUAUGCAUAUUAUGUAUGAUUAAACUAAUGAAAUUUCCAUUAUUAUAUUCAAAGAUUCUAUGUUUUUGUUUUUUUUAUUCAAUACAAUAUUACGGAAUGGGAAGCCCAAAAAAAAAACUUUACUAAAAUAAGAGGAGAUAAGAAUCAUGAGAUCAAAUCAUGGUCAUCAUCGCCAAACAUCUCUUGGUUUUGGACUUCAUUAAUUAGUCCCAAAAUAAAAAUAAAACCUAGUCAUCCCGUUAUUCAAACUUUCAUUAAAAAUUAAUAAAUUCUUUUUAAAUAAUAAAAUUUAAUUAAAGACAUUUGAUCGUGGUAUAUUGAGUUAAAAUUUUAUAAAUUUAAUUUUUUUUUAAAUAUCGAUAUUUUAACAUAGAACUUGAUUGGAUAGUUUUUGAUAGCUUAAAUUUUAUCUGUCUUUUUAUACUGGCAUUAUGAUUUUUUUAAUAUAGUCGGUGAUAGCGGGGAAAUUUCAUUAUUUUGAUAAUAAAAAUGUGACAACAUAUGAAGAUUUAGCUGAAUAGGGGCGAUUUGGGACAAAAUUUAGAUGUAAUUAUGAAAAUUUAAAGGUAUUGUGAAUUCAUGGGUAUUAAAAAAUGCAAAAGAAAUGGAGUAGUCAGAGCUUGGAUCUCCCACAAAAAUAAAAUAUGGCACCUGUCAUUAUCUACCCAUCAACUCUUAUUAUUAUUAUUUUUAAUUUUAUUUAAAGCAAAGUAUGUUUGAAAGUGGGCCCCACAUAAAAUUCAUUAAUCACAACAUUUUUCCCAAGACGGUAUUUUUGGAUUAGUUUAAGAGAGGUAGAGAUCGAUUAUUAAUGGAAACUUGAAAGGGACUAAAGGCCAAAUAGGCCAUGAAAUACUGUUCUUAAUUUGGAGAUUGUGGUGCCAACCAGAAUAAUGUUGUUUUGUUGUUUGGCAAAAGAAAUUUAAUUUUGUACAUAGGAAUCAUCCAUCGACCCUAAAGUAUGGUUAAUAGGGAGGGCCAAGGUGAUGAUCUAAGCCACGUGGACACAAACUUCAACACACCGUGCUGACUAGACACCCCAAUGUUUAUUAACAAAUGUUAAUAUACUAUGAUUCGAUACAUUAAUUAGCUUAUCUUAUCUACAACUGGGAAUUAUUGGAUUAUGAUAUUCCAAUCAUCAAAUUAAAUAAUCUUAAAAAAAUGAAAGUAAAAAUUCAAAGGGGAAUAAUAAGGGGUUUUGAAAGCAUUAUGGAUCCACUCAGGAGAUGGGGGGUUUAGUGGGGGAAUCCUAGAAGAGGAAGCAACUUCUGAGAAGGUGGGUUGGAAAUUGUUGUGCCCCAUUUCACAUGUCCUUUUAUGAUGAAUAUGAACAAAGAGGGGAGGAAAAUAGGGGCAUGGGGCAUGUGGUUUGAGGUGAGUACUUGUCAUUAUUGUUGUUCUUACUGUCACCGUUUUGGUUAAGGUGGGUGAGGGUUUGUUUCAUUUGAACAGAUGGGAUUAGAGACCAUGUUGUGACUGAUAAACCCAGAUGAUGAUGACGACAUUGACCCCCAUGGAUUGAAACAGAGGAGGAAAGAGGACAGAGAUGGUCAAGACCCUGUUUUUCUAGUUUAAAGUCAAAACCCACCUCCUGAUAUUAAAGAAAGUGGCAGUUUGAUCUUAUAAUUUUAUAUGGAGUAGUAGGAUGCUUUACAUCCAAAUGCAGGCUUUUACAUUGUUGGGCUAGACCCAUGAUGAUUAAAAGUAAAUGUGGGCCUCAAUAAAUUUGAGUUUGGGUUGUUUUAUGUUGAAACUAUUGCCCAUGAUCACCACAUGAAAUUGGACUCUCUAAACACAACUUUUGACAACAAAUAUUAUUGGUAAAGAAGUUGGUGAGUGUGACACUUGAAUCCUUUCAGAGCAUCCUAAAUCAGCUAGAUGCUAUGAAAAGGGGUCUUAAUGCCCACAUGAAUGCUCCUUUGUUGCAGUGUUCUGUACCUAAGAGUUCAGAGAAUUUGUUGUAAGCCUAUUCCAAAGGGUAUAUUGUCCAUGAAAGAAACAAAAAGGAAGAUUUCUAAUACAGGUGGUGCACAUGCCCUUGUUAUAGAACAUGGGAAAAGAAAUAGGAGUCAUAGGACAACAAAAUUCACGGCAACUUCAGGGAGAAAGUCAGAUGCUUUCAUUAUGGUAAGAAGGCCAUAUGAAAAGGAAUUGACAUAUCUGAAAAAGGGAACACAAGGGACAAACUAUAUAAAAAAAUAAAAAUAAAAAUAAGAAGGAAAAGAAUAAUGGAGCCACUACAAAUAAGAAUAGUGAGGCUUUAGUGCUAGAAAUUGAUGAGUGUUUUCAUAUAGUGGUCAUAGACUUGACUGGAUUGUAAAGACUGUUACCCCCUCUUAUACUAUGCUUUACUUGAAGUUAGUCGUCAAACCACACACCUGGAGACUUUGGUGUAGUUAGGGUGAUAAAUCUAAUUCUCCAAGAUUGUGAGAAGGGUAACAUAUGCCUUGAACGUAAUGUUAGGUGCAAGUUGACCUUGAGAAAUCCGAUGUCUAGUUGCAGACCCAAAUGAAAGUCUGCUAGAAUUGAUCUGUUGUGAUAUUUGAAACCUAGAGGUGUUGGGCCUCUUGGGGGAACAAAUAACUUUGUUAGUUUCAUUGAUGAUGCUACCAGAAAGGUAUGUGUGUACUUGUUGAGAACAAAGGGAUAUUGGUUUGCCAAUAGUUUGACACCUCCAAGCCAUAAGGAAUAUGAAGAAAUUGAAAUUUCUUAGGUUUGAUAAUGAAUGUGAGUUCCCUAGAAAAAACUAGGAGUCUUAGGUCUAAUAAAGGAGGUGAUCAUACCACUCAAAAGGAAUUUAAAACUUAUUACUCCAAACAUGGAAUACGACAUGAGAAAACAAUUCCUAGUACCCCCACAGUACAAUGGUAUGAUGGAGAGGAUGAACCAUGCGUAGCAUGAGUUGUUUCCUUGCAGAAAAACAUUGAAUAGCAAAUGAGCGUUCAAAUUGAAAAAAAGAAAAAAGUACAAAACUCAUUUGAUGGUUAAAAGCUUUAUGCAAAAUAAGAAAUUUACAAAUGGCAGGGAAGGAUUUGUACUGAAAGAAAAAUAACACAUGGUCUGGAAAUUGAAGAACACUUUUAUAGGCUGAAGCAUGGAGUAAGAAGUUCGAAUUUGGGACAACAACAAUAGAUGCUUCUGUCUGAGUACAUUGGUGGCUAUUUUGGUAAGCUAUUUCCAUUUGUAAAUGAUAUUCUAGUCCUUGAUAAGAUGUUGAAUUGAUGUUCGGGCUAGAAAAAGUCGAAGAAUUUAUGGAUCAAUCCAAAAUUUCAAUUGCCAGAGCCAGAGCCAGAGCAUAUAAGCAAAUAAUAUGUCUAACAAAUGGAAAGAAGAAUGAAAGGAAUCCAAUCUUCCAGUAUAAAAAAGGUAGUUAACAAUAGGAGUAAAAUUCCAUCCAAAACAAUUCAUCCCCAAUAUGACACCCAGGAUAAAUAAACCUGUGAACUCUGCUGUUGCCCUUGUGUUCCUAUUUCUAUGCUACUUUCUCAGAGGUACUUCUAAUGCAACAGAGUUUUGGGGUAGAUUACAACCCCCCCCCCCAACCAAAAGAAGAAGAAAAAAAAAGGGGUUAAUAAUUUUCAACAGAUUGGUCAUUUGAGACUGUUGAUUCUGACAACUCGUCUUUCAAUGCGAGUAACUCCUUUUCCUGCUGUUUCUUAAGAAAAUUCUGUGCAGUUGCAGUCACAAUCUUGAAAAAGAAGUUGAUGAGCAUGAGCCAGACAACCGUAUUCCAGAUUGAAGCAAAUGACAGAUCCCAUUUCUUCACCUGAGCAUGGAUUUUUUUUAAAUGAAGAAAAUACAAAUAAAAACCAAUUAUCAAUAACCACAGAUAAUAAUUAAAUUAAAAUGAUUUUAUCUUCAGAAAAUGGAAAAAUUAGAAAGAUGCCCAGCAUAGCGUAGCACCACCGACCUUCAUAUUUGAGGGCACAGGAGGUGAGGGUGCCAGGUAUUUAUCUCUCAUUGCGUUCAGUUUGGAAAUGAGGUUGGGCAGGACAGAAGCAAAACCAGGUAUAAGACUAAGCACCCAAAUUAACUCAUUCUCUAUCCAAUCAAGGAGUUGAUUAUUGCAAACUGAAAUAAUGAAAACUGUCUGCAGAGAGGAAUCAAAAGAAACCUGAUUAGAAAUCAAUAUAUAUUAGGGCUUUAAGAAUGAGAUUUCCCCAACAAAGACAAUAAAAUUCACACAUUUCAUUUCUUCUUCUUUUGAAUUACGUCUCUUUAUUUUUCUGGCUAUUAAUCAAAGUAGAUAAAGAGUGUCAACACUAAAGCAGCAAAGGCAAAACAACAAAAAUUGAAAUAAUUUGCAAAGCAAAUAACUAGGAACAACACUACUGGUGUGAGGAAACGAAAAAGGGAAGGUGGAAAAGAAGAGCAGCAAUAUUACAUCUAUGCUAUGUCUGAAAUAUCAAGAAUAUGAAAGUGAGAACUACACAAACCUGUAUGUGAGUUUUAAUAAUUGCCUUUCCAAUGAAUGUUGCAAGAAAAAACUUCCAAAAUGGAAUCCCAAAUUGUCCACACAUUAUGCCAGCAAGGUCAAAUAGAGGAUUCGGCACCUAAAACAAUACAACAGUUAACCAGGAGGUACAUAUCAAUAAAUUGCUAAUCAGAAAUAUCUAGACUUACUUUUUCUCAAACGCAAAGUCUGCAUCUUCAUAUGAAGGUAAAUUCUGCUUAAGAUCUAUAUUAUUUAAGAUUAUAAAUUGCUGUAUAACACUUAAAACCCAGUUGCCAAUUUCAAUCUGAUACGAUCUGUGCUAGAAGCUCUCCCUCUAUGCAUACUUGAAAGUAAAAAUUUUGAAGAACUUAGCAUAUUUGGUAGAUAGACUGUUUCUUCAGCAACAUAGACCUUAUAUAAAACAUAUAAAAACAUAGUGAAGUUGCUGGCACAUUAAGUAGAGAAUUGUUUGUAUGUUUGCAUGAGAUAUAAAUGCUGAGAGAGACACAGAUCAACACUAUGCCUAUUAGUUUGGAGUUAAUGAAAAGCAUGUCAGAUGAAAAAUCAAUGUUAAAGAAACAUAUAAUCAAGGUUGUUGAUGCAUACUGGCCUUCCAGGCCAAUUGUUACCACAAAAUCUACCACGAACUAUUUUCUAAUAAAAGCAACAAAUUUACCCUUUAAAUGCUGAAAAAUAUGAGAUUCUAAUAGAAGGCAACCAUAAAUUAUUUAAAUAAACAAAAUGACUUAUUAUAGUAGUGGGGGUGCAUUGAAGCAGUCAUGUAGAAAAGAAAAUGUCACUCAUUGCAGCAUUGACAAACCAAUUCUGCAAUAAAGCCAGGAAAUGAGGAUGAUGAAACCCAAACUAACCGAAGCAAGCACCAGAAUGGUAAAGAAGUUCAAGUGUUGCGAAUGUGAUAGAAACCAGCGUUUAAUCUGUUUAAGAUGAGUAGAUACGACUCCAUCAUCUUCAGGCGAGGAAGCAUCCAAUUCUUCUAUGGCAUCUGAUUUGCUACCUGACAAACUUGCUGCAGAAGUAAUAGGUUAAGGUAAGAUUACACUCAAAAUAAAGGUUCUUCAAGCUAUCGAAGCAACAAUCUGUACAACCCAUUUCUGCCAAAUCAAUCAUUGUAAAAAGAAAUAAUCACAACCUUGCUAGUCAUAGAAGCACAAAAGACAUCUAUCCCAGAUAAAAAACAAUCCAUCCAAUAUAAAAUCUAAAUUAAUUACUAUGUAAUUUGAACCUCAGAAGGGCCAAGAGCAAAUAUCUGAAGAUGGGAAAUUGCAAAUAGGGUUGCUGGCAAUGCAAAAUCAUUAAUGCAGAUUCACAAAAAUAACUCUUGCAUAUCCUGUAGCAGUCUUUUGAGGUUUGUGCAACUUAAAAUCUAAAUGUCUAUCAACUAUCAACUUCUGCAGCAUGCCAUGCCAACUCAACUCUCCACCCUUGCCACACCCACACAUAGAGAUGGAGUCCCCCUGGGUGCCCAGGAAUGUAAUGAUUUCCAAGUUUGAUGGCAAAGCAGCAUGUGCAAAUAAUAAUAUUUCCAAAUGGUUUCAAUCUACUUGACAAGAUGGAUGCUUGAAUCAGUCUUUCAUAAAUCAUGAAACUCAAAGAUACUAGAUAAAGCUUUUAACUUAAACCUUAAGUUUAGGUACACAAGAUUUUAACUUCGAGUUUCAGUACCUUCAGUUGCUUCCAGAAAAUUAACCCAUUGAAUGUAGGUGUAUGAUGACUUAUAGAAGUCAAGUAGCUAAAACAACCCUAGGAUAAAUAAGACAAAGGCAUCCUUACCACGAAGGUGGUGUUUUGUUACAUUAAAUUCCGUUUACAACUUCACAUUGAUCUAGACACAACAUUAGGUUUCCCAAAGAAUCAGAAUUAAUUUGUUUUUUCAAUAAGGUACUUCCAAAACGUGUUCUUUAUUUUUGUAAUCAUAUCAUAAUAAAUAUCACAUAAAAUUCUGUUCUCAUACCAGCUUUUGAGAUAAAAUAUGGAGGAAGCUCCCCAAGUGCCGUCCCAAUACCCCACAGAACAGCCUCUACCUGAACCUGGGGUAAUAUGCUACUAAGUGGAACCCGCAAGGCAUGUAAUGAUGAAAACACUGGAGGCCCAAAUUCAGAACAAUCCUUAUCAAGCCACGAGGGGCCACUUUUUAAUCGUAUUGUAUCAUAUGGAGCACUUUUUAUGUCGACUCGACCGCAUUGCAUGGCUUUUAUUGUGAAUAGCGCAAUAUGAGGCCCCAGAUAAAGGACAAAAGUGUGCAAACCAGACCCUGCGCAAAUAAUAAUAAUAAUUAAAAAUAAUAAUAGUAAUAAAGGAAAAGAAAAGAAAACAAGAUAAAGGUUACUGAUUUGUGGAAUAGCAACUUGAGGUAUAAGAAUCCAAAUGUUUCCAGUCAUAAAAGUUGUACAAAAGUCCCACCAAAAAGGAACCAAAAAAAUAAAGGAGAUGCCUUUCAACUAUCAGAGAAUGCAAUGAUUUUUAUUUGAAUUCUGCCAAAUAUGCCAAAUUAAUGUACUACCACUUUUGCAUUUAAAAUAUAUGAAUCAUGCAAAUUGAUACUUUGAGAGAAUGCUAAAAACAAAAUGCACCAUUGAAGAAAUCCUUAAAUGGUUUCAAUUGUCCUGUCCUAUAUUAGUUUUAAUCAUGCCCUCCUUUGCUGAUUAGGACAAAGAAAAAAGGCAUUGAAAAUGGAGCCUGACAGAAAUAAAUUGGAUUGGAUUUUGAGAAGCUAUGAAUUGACACUAAAAUAUUUUUAUAGAGGGGAUCCAUCUUUAAUGAGGAUUGAAAAUUAAAAUCCACUGUUCAUCAAAGCAAUGUAUGGUAUUCUCAAUUAAAGGCUUCUGUUGACAUUUGAAAGUCGGAUACGUUAUUUAAGAAAAGGUGCUCCACUUCAUAAAACAUGAGGUGCCAAAAUUAACCUUAUUAAUCUACAGAUAAGGCACCUUGUACCUAGGGUCACCAAAAACCGUAAUGUUGUUCAACUCAAUUCACACAGUUGUAAUUACUGUUAUUGGAUUGAUGCAGCAUCCAUUCUACUAAUUGAAUAGUUAAUCAUUGUUAUAUAGUAGACUCAUCUCAUUUUUGUCUCAGCAGGAAUAUCCAUCUUUUCAUGCACAAUGAUUUACUUUAUUUUAUUUUCUAAGAUAGAUGUGAUUGAAAGUCUAUCACACAGUUCACAUCUUAGAUACUGACACUCAUCUAAUAUGUCAUUGUCAUGUAGAUAACCAACAGAGUUGAGCUCGAUCAAAUCCUUAAUUGAGAUAGAGACUACAAAAAAGAACAUUAAGCCACAUAUUGUUCCAUCCUUCCUAAAGAAUUUUUUUAUUUCAGAAGGAUAAUAACGGGAUAUAUACAUUAUGACCAUAAAAUGUUUAGGGCAAGAUGCAAACUUCCAGACUUUGGUAGACAAAGGAAACUAAUAUAUUUUGAUUUCUCCGAGAUAUGCGGCUCUCCGUGAUCUUAAUGGUUAAAGCACAGCAAAAGUUUGAAGGCAUUACUAGAGGUCUUGAAAAAAAAAAAAUAUGAAAUUUUGGACCUGUCAACUUAGUCGAUUGUCAAAAUGUACAAGUUGUUUUUCAGUUGGUUAUUAAAUCAACAUGACUGGGUGCAGUUAUUUAUUUCAAUUAUUCAACUAGCUGGAUCAGGUUGAAUGACUAUCUUUUUUGGUGGGUGGAAUGACUAUAGCUACAUUUUCAUGCAUAUAAGUAACGUAUCGACGCACAAACAAACAACAGAAAAAAAGGUAUUAGCCUACCAUCCCUUUUAGAUUAUAAUUUAUUGUUAUGAAACAUAACAGUGCUAUGUCAACCACUAUUAACUAUAUCCAAAUACCAACCAUUCCACAUUACCAAGAUUACUCAUGAGGGCACUAAAUUGCAUGAUCUUGUAUGUAAAUUUUGCUUACCAAGACCAAUAGAAGACGCAAUGCCAAGAGCUAUCCACCACAAUCCAAACAGGAAAUAUUGAUGAAGCUCCUGAACAUGCUGCAGAAAAAGUCAUUACCAUGUAUUUGUUAUUUUCAAUUAAAGAGUCCAAACAACAUACCAAGAUGGAUGAGAAAAGUAAAUGAAAGAUCAUACAUUACAAACCUAAAACAAACGUGUACAUGUAAUUUAACAUCCACAGCAGGGAAAUUAAGUAGCUUAAAGAUUAAAACAGUUCUUUAAAUGACAUCAUGAGCCCCAUAAGCACAAAAGUAUAGAAUAGAUGGUUGAAUUUAUUUACACAGUAAUGAUGUGAACUGCCCUUGAGCAUGAUAACCAGUUGCUUAGAGUUCUGAAAAACAUAUUUUUCUGUCUGCUCACCAGAAUUUAACAUGUUACCAAUUAAAGACCUACUUAAAACAAGCCUGAAUAUAAAUACCUUUUCAUGAGGCCCAUCAAUGGCCAUCAGCACAAACCCAAGAGCCAUAGCCACAACACUUAAAAGCAUAACCCAACCACCUUUCGCCAAAAGGUAUGCUACUGAUUGCUUAACAUGUUGGACAACGACCAAAAUGAAAAACUUUAAUACUUUGAAUGGUUCUGUUUUUAGGGUCAAAUUUUCCAUCUCCUGCUGCUGCCUUUCACGGAGUCCUGCAAAAAGUAGCAAUUGCAUAACUUUACUGGAAUUUAAUGUCUUUAAACUUCUUUCCUUCAGAGAUUGAGAUCCCACUGUGUUCUCUUCUCUUUCUGUCUCUUUUUUUAAAAGAAAAGAAAUACACGAUGAGCAUCAAAAAAUAUCCCCAUUAAUUUAUAGAUAAGAUUGCAACCAUGUUAAUAAAUAAUGGAUAGAAAAGCACAAUAAUUCUGCAAGUGCAGCUAAUUAAAAAUAAUAUAUGUUUCUAUAUUGCUCAAACAUUAAAGAAAAUCAAAACUCAUUUUUCUAACGAUUUUUUUUAACCUUUCACUUGCCAAUCCACAAGCAAACAGGGCACUCCUCCUUUUUACCUUCAAAUCCCUUGAAAUUGCAACCUCGUAAUAUGCUAUUUAUAAAAAUGUUUUUUUAAUAAAUAAAUUUUAUAUUAAAGAAUAAGCUUAGUAUAUAUGUAAUUGCAAAAGUGCAAAACCUAUAAAUGUGACAAAAUAGCUGUCAAGGUUUUACGCAUUCCACACAACACAGGCAGGGAAAGUCCAGCAGGGAGCAUAAGAUGGCAACAGAGAGAAGUCAUAUCAAACAUAUAAAAAAAUGUACAAUGUGUAUAUCUAAAAGGCAAAAAACACCCAACCUCAACAAUGGAAAACAAGAAACCUCAAGUUGCAAGGGAUUAGGGUAGGGAAGUGGAUAUCCACAUUCAAUUUCCCGAAAGAGAAGAAAAAAAAUUAUCUGUCAAAAAAAAAAAGUAAGAGAAUGAAAACAAGAUGUAAGGAACUCCAAGCUCUACGAAAAUCAGCAAGGUAGAUUCCUUUAGCUAUACAAGGGCAAAGUCAGCAAAUUAGCAAUAUGGAACUCGAUAUUGUCCCCAAAUAAUUGAAUUCAUAAGAUUCCCAUUAUUUAGAUGAAAAGAUUGAAAGGAAGGAAUUCUUCCAUGAAGUAAGACCUUUGGAGUGCACAGCCUGGCUGGAAUGACAAUGAAUAAGCUCAUGGAGGGCAAAUCGCACACCCAAAUCUAACUAGAAAAUCUAAUUCAAAUGGCUGUACCAGGGUCCAUGAAUGAGAAGAUGGCGUUACCUAAAUGUCAGGACAUUGUCUAAAACUACAGCUUCCUUAUUCAUUUUAUGAAAACAACCACCCCAUAUUUCAUUGUAUUGUUGCAUCUAACCUCCAAAAAGGGAGGGAAAAGGAGAAAGACAUUUUUUUAAUGAAAAAAAAAAAAGCAGAGGACCAGCCUCUAAUAUAAGAUUCUAAUCUCUCAGUGCUUGAUAAAUUGUUUAAUAUCAUGAUCGUAUUAACAAUCCUGUCGAAUUUGACAUACAAGUUUAGGCCACAAACAGGGAUAAGCAAUUUAAGAAUUACACUCAAGCAUUUCAUACUGCUAACCAGAAUGCUGUACAUUGAAAUUGUCUAUUCUCUAUGUGUUAAUAUGUGAUUGAACAUGGGGCUAAAACUUGUAAUCGUCAAAGAUUACCAAUGCCCAUAAUAAGGGACACACUUUUUCUCAUGAAUCAUAUGAUCUGGACCUUAAUGCCCUGUUUGAUUAUCGAGAAAAUGUAGAAAAAGAUUAAAAGAAAAAACAGAAAUUUUGAUUUUAGAUUUUCCAUCAUUUGAAACCCUAGAAUAGAACCGAUUCACUUGUUUCAGCUAAGCUUUUUAUUUUUUAAUCAUUGCUUUUCGCCUUUAGAAUCCAAAACAACACAAAUCAUAAACUGGAAAGAAAAGAAAAAAAAUUUGAGACCCGUGUUCUCACACCGAUCAGACGGACAAUAUUUUCCCACCGAGAUUCCAACUCGGUGAAAAAACCAUUUCAUCAAAAUUCCCCCCAACAAAAGCUCGAUAAAACCUACAAAUGAUAUAAUAAACAAUUCCAAGGGCUCCAAAUCACAAUCACCGAACUCAACAAAUAAAUUAACAAAGAGAGAGAUAGAGAGCAGGCCGACCUGAUAUUGCCAUCUCUAGAGACCCAGAAGAAGAAGAUGCAGAAGAAGGAGAAGCGACUUCAUUUCUGGACCCCAUUAUGCCCACAUGCUACAACCAAUAAACCAUACAAAUCCCGACCUCCUUCGACUAUCCGGACGCUUUCUUCUCAGAGAAAUUGUCUCUGCAUGCGAAAGGGGGAGACGAUCUUCAGAGAAAAUUGACGAAAUCGGACAGAUCUAGACGGAGCAGAAGGAGAAGGGCAAGAGUUGGCGUGAAGACCCCCUUGUGAAAAAGAGCUUUUAUCGCUCUCUGAUGGGGCUUCAUUUGCAACUGACAACUCUCCACCUAUAUUAUGUGCUUUCUCUUUCGGUUUUUUUCACCGUGUGGAUGACAAGGAAAUUAAUUUUUGUUUUUGUUUCCUAAUGCGUAAUUAACACAUCAUUUUCCAUUAUUUUUUAAUUUUUUUUUCCUUUUUUACAUACAUAUUUUAAUUAUAUGCAAUAAAUAAACCUACAAUUAUUUAUUUAAAGAGAUAAAUACUUCAAUUUCCAAUAUAUUUAUGGAAAUAAUUUUAAAAAUGAUAAAAAUAAAAUAAAAUAAAAUACCGAUAUUCUAUUCUUCUACACCAUCCAAAUUAUUAUUAAAAUUUAGGAGUUGCUUCAAAGUAGUAACGUAUGUGUAAUGUGGUCCAUUUUCUAGUCUUUUAAUUACUCCAUGUUUCCCUCAUGCUUUGCAGUUGAUUGCGUGCAUGGUGAUUAGGAUAUAUAUAUUGGACCAGUUGUACACGGCAUUUUAAUUUUAAACGAAGGUCCAAUAACAUAGCCCAGCCCAAAUCACGGGUCAACAAUAUUGGCUGUAAAGUCAUAUUCUCCAAGAAAAGAAUUCCAUUGUGCUGCUGACUGCAAGGGUGUGACAUGUCGCCACGUAAUCAACUUCCUUAUCAACUGAAGUCUUUCGGUGAUUUCCUAAUUAAGAUGCCAAUGGUAAUUUCAUUCGUAAAGCAAAAGAAAUGCUACACGUCAACGUCAUGCAGACCAGAGCACGGGAGAAAACAAAAUCGAGCUUCGAGAGAAAUUCAAAGCAAGUUCCUUUCCUUGGAUUGAAUUGCUCCAUCCGGCAAGGGUGGUCUGCAGAUGGGAUGAGAAGGAAGAAUCCUUUGUGUUGGUGUACAACGCGAAGCAAACAAAAACAAAUAUAUUUAUUUGGAAAGCACAGGAUUGGGAUCGAAUGGAAGAACCCCAAUUGGAGGAGGAGCACCGUAGGAGUGGUGAAAGGGAGGAAAAAGAGUUGCGACCGUGUCCACAAAGUUAGGGGAAGGGGACGUCGGGUGGGGAGGAGGGCAUUUCUCCCGAAUUCCAAGAAGAUAGAGUCAAUUGAUUGAUUUGUGUCGUUUCAGAAGGCACGUGAAAGGAAUACAAUGAUUGCAUGGCUGCCUGCAAUCGCAACUGGUAGCGGAAGCUUACCGGGAAGGUCGCCUUCUUUGGACUAUAUAUGGAGUGUCGGAUACUUAUUCUCACUUUAGUUCAGCCAAUAAGGUCCGGUGGGGUCUCUUCCGAGUUCCGACCUCAUUUCAUUCCAUCUCGCAUAAUUGCUUGCAAACAAAUUUGGUCAUGCUACAGAUUUCGUCAUCCUUGUUACAGUUGAGAGUCAUGUUUGCUUUAUUAUAUUUGUUCAUGGCUAGGCGGUUCUAAGAGUAGAGAAAGAGGAACAUAGGAAAAAAUACGACGUUCAGGACUAAUGAAUAUUCAUAUGACAAUAAUGUCGAGAGGAUAAACCUCGAUUCUUAAUCUAAUUCAAACUCUAUCUCAUACUCCAACUCAAACUAAUAACAAAUAAAUAAAUACUUUUAAUUUUAUAAUAUUAUUUUAUUAUCUUGAUUUGAUUAAUCUAUAUCUUGGUUUUAUUUUGCAUGCUUUUUCAUAUUUUUUAUUAUUUGUAUUCAUUCCAUUAUUUACAUUUUUGUCUAAUAAUUUAAUUUUCUUUUAAUUAAUUUUGGAAGACUGAGUUUGAUGGAUACCUUAAUUUUUUUUUUCUAAAUGAAUGUAAUGAUAAAUGAUUUGAAAUUAUAUAUAUUUGAUAGUUAAUAUUUUAUUCAAUUUCUCUUACAUCUUCUACAAAUAAAAUUUUGAGUUUUAUGACUGUUUUGAAUUGUUUUUUAGAAUAGAUUUUUUGUUCUUCAAAACAAAAAACAAUAGAAAUCAAAUUUGAUAGUUAAAAUUGUUUUCCAUUUUUUAUUUUUAAGAUAAGAAACAUAAUUUUUUUUAAAAUAUUUUUCAUUUAUUUUUUUAUAGUUGUUUUAAGAAAUAAUUAUACAAACAUGAAUAAUAAUUAAAAAAAUAAAACACUAGAUAUAAAAAUAUUAAAAAUAGAUUAAAAAUAUUUUAUGUUUUCAAACAGAUUUUGUUUUAAAAAAAAAUCAAAGAAUGAUUUUCAAAAAACUAUUCUAAAAAAUUACUUUUGAAAACAAUUACUAAACAAAUCCUUAAUUUUCAACAUUAAGAUGAAUGAUAUCCUUGAAUUAAUUGAGUUGGGCAUGAAUUAAUUUUUUUUAUGCCUAAUUUCAACCCCAUGAAUCAAUCUUGUGGAGUGAGAGAGAAACAUAAUUUGAUCCUCAUUAUGAAAAUUUUUCUCUUGGGUGCUUAAGGCUAUGUUUAAUUUAUCCUAAAGACAAAAAAUGAUUUUCACCUUGUCCCGACUUCAUCUUAACGUUGUGGUGGGCCUAAUGGUUACGGCCUGGUUUGGACUGAUUUGGGCUUGCUUAGUGGGCUCCGAUCUUUAAUUUGGGUUGGAGUCUGGUCCAAGUAGAACGAGGUUGGGCUCCGAGCCAGUUGUUCAGUCUGGCCACCAUUCACGCCUGGAUGCACCAGGGGCUUCACUAAUUUGUGUCUCUGCAUUUGCUUGAAGGAAUCCCAAAUCCCAUAAAACUCGAAUUGAAAAUCUAAAAAUUCUUUCGUCAAAUCCUUUGAAAUCGUUUUGGUUUAUAAAUUCCUUCCAUUCGAUUUAAUUUAAUUAAUCUGACUUAGGCCUAAAAUAAAUUAAUUUAAAAUAUUAUUUUUGAGAAUAUAAUUUCCCCCAUUCCAUAAAAUAAAAUGAAAGAAAUAUAAAUUAUUAAAAAUAUCAUCAAAAUAAAUCAUUUAAGCAAACUUCCGAAACAAAUUCUAGGUUUUUAAUUUUUUAUUUUGUUAAUAAUCUUUUUUUUGUAUAUAAUUUUUUUAAAGUGUUUUUAGUUUAUCACAUUUUGUCUGUAUUUGGUAAUAACUUUUUGUUGCGUUUUUAGCCUUUGUAAUACUUAAAAAUAAAAAUUUUGAAGUGUUAAAAUACUUUUUAAAAUCACUACUAAAAGAAACUCUUUUGCUGGUAAUGUUAUAAUUACAAAUAUAUAUAUAUAUAUAUAUAUAUAUAUUUGCUUUUUCUUCUUAUUUAUAUUUUUGUUAUAACCCAUUUUUAAUUCAUAAUAUUUUGGUUAAUAAUACUUUUCCUAGAAAUGUUUUCAAAGAAAAUUGUUUAAGCUUCAUUGGGUAUACUCCUUGUUUUUUAUUUUGAAAACUUUUACAUAAAAGAAGAAACUCUUAUGUAAAAAUUAUAAACUUACUUUAUGUUAUUAAAAAUUAUUUUAAAAAUAUUAAAAAUUGAGAGAAUAAUUUUUUUAAUACCUUAAUGUUUUUAAUUAGUUUUUAAAAAUUAAUAUAGGUCUCUAAAUUUUUUUAUAUUUUAUAUAAAAGUUACUAUUGUUAUCCAUUUUUUUAAAAAUGGAAAAUAAUAAAUGGAUUUAUUAUAUAAUAAAAAAAUGAUUUUUAUUUAUUUAUUAAGAAUCACCUCUAAAGUGAUUGUCCAAAAAUCAUCUUUUAAAUGUUUUUUAAAUAUUUUAAAAGUAAUUUUUAAAUAUGUAUCAAAUAUGAAAUACCUAAUUUCUAUGAGAGAGUGUUUAUCAAGGAGUGCUUCUAUCACCUCUUAAAAUUAUGUCUCAAAUGACCUCUUAAACCAUGUAAUUUUAUUACAAUUAUUACUACAUUAGUUUGCUUAAUUUAAGUAGUGAAAAUUUUGUUUCAUUCAUCCUAAUUUGGGAGUUUUCUACUUUAUUAUGUGUUACUCUCUAUUGAAAUCUUAAAGUUAUUAUGUAAUCAAUCUAAAAUGACAUAGCUAAGUAUAAAAAAAUUUAGAAAUGACUAAUUUUAUUAAAAUAUGACAUAAAAUAAACUUUAGAUUUUUAAUUGAGCUAAAAUAUUUUUAAUUAAUUAAAUUAAAAACUUUACAAAAGUUUAAACUUGAUGCAAGAGAUUUUCUUUUUUUCAAAUUUUAUAUCCCAAUUUGUUUUAUUUUAUUUAUUUUUUUAAUUUUUAAAAUUUGGUUUUUGAAAACUUUAGGAUUCUAUCCAUACGAUUUCAUGUCUAUAUAUACUAUGCCAAAAUUCUUUGAUCUUGAUGCAAAUUUUGGUAACUAAUUAUUAGCGUUUUUCUCACAUUCUUAGGUUAGUGAAAGAGAUAUGUGUACUGGGUGUAUAUGUGGUGCUACAUGGUGGACAUGAAGACUAAAUAAAUACCAUGGAGUAAAACCUGAGGAUAAGUAAGAGUAUUUAAUUGUUGUUUUCUAGAAAUAAUUUUUAAAAAUAAAGUAAAAUAGGAAAUAAUAUUUAGAUAAUAAAUAAAAUUUGUUUUCAUCGGUUUUUAACUUAUUUUUAAAAACAAGUUUUAAAAAGCAUGAUCAAACGAGCUUUAAAUUUAUGCAUUUUUCUUAUAAUAGUGAAUUUGUGCUCUACGAUCUUGAGAUCCCAUGUCUUUUUAUAUCCAAAAAGCCUUUAUUACACUUUAUGGAUGAUUUUUCAUGUAAAAAUCUUGAUACUUUGAGGAUUGAUUUUUCUUCUUCUUCCAUUUUCUUUUCUUAAUCUACAAACUUUCAACAACCAUAAGGUUAAAAAUUUAUGAAGAUUCCAUGAUACAAACAAGAUUACAUACAGCAUAAAGAUAGGAAAAGAAUCUGUACCAUGAACCUAGCAAACUCAAAACAAUAUCCAAUACAAUACACACAUCCUAACAGGAUAUGGUCGGCCAGUUAGGAAAGAUUUAAUAAAGAAAAUAAAAUGUUGAACAAGAAAUUAUAAGAAAUCAAGAAGUCACGGGAUCAAAUCUUUUAAAUGAUGUUGACUUCUUUUAUAAAAGAUUAUUGAAUUUUCUUAAAGUAAAAGUCUUUUUCACUCUAGAAAUGAAAAACUUUCCCAUAAAAAAAAAAGUUUAAAAAAGAAAAGGGAUAAUUAAUGAAUUGUAGUUUGGAACCUUCUUUUUGAAAGUUUUGGAGGACCAUGUUGCAGUCUUCUUAUUUUAUCUUGAAAUUUUUAGAAGGAAGGAUUGUUAAUAUAUGAAUUUAGGUUAAUAAUUUUGUUUCGAUGAUUACUAGUUUGAAAUAUGUUACAACGGUUAAUAUUAAAAACACCAUUUCACUAGCUCAAAAAAGUCUUAAAGUCAAAAUUUUGUUUUAAAAAAUUUUAAAACCCUUUCAAAUAGGAAAUAUAGGGGUCGAUGAUUCAAGUUGUCAAACUUUAAUAUAGUUUUGAAAUGUUUCACUAAAUAUAAGAGAUGUGAAAAAGACAUAUCGGUAUUAAUCUAUAUAAGACUUGUAUGAUAAUAGAAUCCAGACUAAAUGAAACAUUAUACCAUUUUUUAUAUUAAGUGAAUUGUUAUUGUGAGCAAUAAACUUAUAAUUUUGUAUCUAUAAAACUUAAGACAAUAUCUAAAGAUGAUUUUCCAUAUAUAUAUAUAGAUUAAGACUAUAAUAUUUUUGAUUGGUGGAUAAAAAAGGGUUAUAAUUAAUUUUAUUUAUUUAACAUAAUUUAGGGGUAAAAGAAAUUAAUUUAAGUAUUAUUUUUAAGUGUAUGAUUUUUUCCAUUUCAUAAAUAAAUCGAAGAAAUGUAAAUUAUUACCAAUAUCAUCAAAAUAAAUAAAUUUUAUAUAUUAAUUAUGGAAUAUAUUUGUUGGACAGCCCAUGGGUCUUUUUAAUAGUUCAUUGUAUGAACUUCCAAGGGCAAAAUAAAUAAUUUUAGCUAUCUUCCAAAAGAGAGGAAUAAUAUUUGUAUCUAAUUUAGUUAAAGUGUAGUGCUUUUGUUAAAUUGUCUUUAAUUUAUAAUAUUUUUGUAAAAGUAACGGUUUUAUUCGAAAACAUUUGUAAAGGUAAACACUUAGGCUUUAUUUGGAACCAUUUCCUAUUUUUAAGAAAUAAAAUUCUUGUAUAAAAAAAGUUUAAAUUUACUUUAUGUGCUUAAAAUUUAUUUAUUUUUAAAAAAUUAAAUUUAAGAUAAUAAAUUUUUUAAUACCUCAAAAUUUAAUUAAUUUAUAAAAAUCAUUAUUUUUUUUUGUUAAUCUUUAAAAGUUUUUAUAUUUUAUAUAGAAAUCACAAAGAGAGAUAUAUCAAAAUGUUUUUAUAAUAUUUGGAUAUAAAUUAAACAAGUGCUUGGAUAGAAUUUUUUUUAUAAUUUAUUAUAUAACAAAAAAAUGGAAAAAUAAUCUAUCAAGUGUUAUCCAAAAAUCACCUUAAACAUUUUUCUAAUUUUUUAAAGUAAUUUUUAAAAGAUUUUCAAACAUCAAAUACCUAAUUUCCAAGGGGAAACAUAUUUAACCUUUCUCAAAAGUACAUCUCAAAUGGUCUCCUAAACCACACAACAUUAUUAUAACCCAAGGUUAAAUAUAAAAAGAUCUCAUGAUACAAACAAAAUUACAUAUAGGUCAUGUUUGGUACAUGAGAAUGAAUAGUCUGUUUCCAUUCUCAUUUUUUUUUAAUAUGAAUGAAUUUAGUAAUUCUCAUUUUUAUAUUUAGAUGGAUACAAAUUUAAAGUUGAAAUGAUUAUUAGUGAUAAAAUCAAAGUUCCACUUUUAAGCAAGAUUUUAUUUUUAUUAAAAAAUUAUCUUAUUCCUUUCUUAUCGACACUUUAAUUAUCCAGAUAUGAGAAUAUAUAAGAAAAAGAAUGAGAUGCUUAUUUCUAUUCAUCAUUCCCACUUACCAAAUAUACCAACAAGGUAAUGAUGGUAAAAAAUCAAUACCAUCUGAUGGAAAAAAAAUCAUGUAAUCAAUAUAAUUCUUUCAAGUUCACAAGAGGGAAAUUUGAAAUAUGAUUCAUAUAUAGUCAUAUUAUAAUUCAUGCAUAGUUGUCUUGCCUUAUCAAGGCUUCCAUUGUAUAUGUAUAAUCAAUACAUAAUACACAACCAUUUUUCUAUAUAUAGUAAACCUUCAUAUGGUAUCAAUGUAUAAAACUUUGACGAGUAGAAUUUGAUAUUUUUUUUUUUACAGUGGCUGAAAUUACUACUAACAAUGUCCAAAGCAAUGUUGCUGGCAUCCUAACCACCCAAACCAUUCAAGAAGUAAAUAUUAUCUCCUUCAACAUGGUCGUACAAUUGUCCCUCAAAUUGACACCCUCAAACUUUCCUUCUUAGUUUGCUCAGUUUAUGUCGCUACUGCAUGACCCUUUGUCCAAAGGUGUCUACAUGUCACAAUCACCUGGUUUCAUAGACUCUAAUAUGCCCAACCAUGUGUGUAAAUUGAGUAAAGCAUUGUAUGGACUUCGACAAGCUCCCCGAGCAUGAGUUGAUUCCUUAUCUCUUUUGGCUUCUAUAACUCCAAGGUUGAUACAUCACUCUUCAUACACUCUAAAGGUGAUGCUCUUAUAUAUCUUUUGGUGUAUAUUGAUGACAUCAUAAUCAAUCGUAAUACAAAAUCUCUUCUUAAUGACUUCAUUUAGUCUCUUUUCCAAUCAUUUUUAUCAAAGACUUGAGUGAUUUAUACUUCUUUCUUGGAUUAGAAGUCAUUUCCACCCUUAUAGGCAUGUUUUUAUCUCAACACAUCUACAUACUUGAUUUGCUUAAGCGGACUAACAUGAGUGAAGCUAAAGAAGUUACCACUUCUUUAUUAUCUACCACAUCACUUUCUCUCUAUGAUGGUUCUACUCCAAUAGAUCCCAGGCUUUAUCGAAGAGUUGUGGGAGCUUUACAAUAUCCUUUAUUUACACGCCCUGAUAUUUUCUUUGUUGUUAAUAAGUUAUCUCAAUUUAUGCACAACUAUCCACUCUUCAUUAGGGUACUACUAAGCAUUUACUUCACUACUUGAAAGGGACACUACAUUAUGGUUCGUUCCUGAAUACUCCACUUUCCUUCCAUGCUUAUUUUGACGCAAAUUAAGCUAAGGAUGACAAUUUUGUGGGUUAAUCAAGUUACUCGCUUCACCCUACCCCUAUUAAGAUGGGGAUGGAAAUAUGAUAAUCAGGUAUGGAACGGGUCUGGGAGGGUAUGGAUUUUCUAGUGAUCUACCCCGCCAUGCUUCGUCCCAAAUGUAUAAUUACCAUUUUACCCUUAUACUGUUACAUAAUACCAAGAAUCUCCUUUGUAUAAAUAAUCACUUCUUUUUACAAAUUUAUGGUUCCUUUCAUAGCUUCAAUCAUAUGAAAGCUCUAGAUUUUCUCAUUUUUGUUGCUCUAAAACCGUACUUUGUGUUCUAAAACUAGAUUGUAGGCAACAUAUUGUUAGGGUAUUGUGGAUUUUUUAUUUUUUUUUUCAUAUACGAGAAUCCUAAAUUUUGACUUUUAAUCCUCUUUCUCCCUCUCUUUUUCUCUCUACAACACCUUUUCAAUGUUGUGUUAUAUUUGAUUGAGUUUUGGGCUUUGAGAAUUUAGGCAAUUUCCCUUAUUUUUUAUUUUUUAUUUUUAUUUUUUUGAAACUGGAUCUUGAAUUGGCAUUGGUAGAAGGAUACUAGCAAAUAGUUUGAAGGAAAAGGAAAGAAUAGUAUGUGGUGGUGGUUAAGUAUCUCUAUGAAUGUGUUUUGGAAAGUUGUGUCUUUGAACCUCUAUUGUAGAGUAAUUAUGUAAUUUCCUUGACCUAGGCUCUUGAAAUUCUUUGACUUUGAUACUAUUACCCCCAUAUGGGAUCCAAUCCCUUUGUCCUUUUUCCUUACUAUGUACACAGGAUUAACUAAACAUAUUCAAACACAUUUCUUAUAGUUUUCAUUCCAAACUGAUGUCUUUUUUUUUUUUCCCUCUACAAUUGCUCAAAAUUUGCUACUAAUUUUCUUCCAAGAUUUGUUGUUGGUUUUCAUCUGUGAUUUGUUGUUAGGUUUUAUUUGUUGAUUUUCUUCAUGACUAGACCUAACUUGCCUCAAAAACAUAACUGAGACGGAGAUGGUAUUAUCAUUUUUUUUGGUAAAUGGGAAUAGGGUACAUCAACCCCACCUCGCCCCGGGUUUGGGAUGAUGAUGGGAAAAAAAUUAUAAAACUAGGAUAGGAAUCGGGUAGGGGUGCUCCAUCCCAAACCCACUUCAUUGUCAUCCUUGUAUUAGGCUGGUGAAAGGGAUGAUCGAAACUCAACUAGUGUCUACGUCCUUUAUUUGGGUUCCAAUCCUAUCUUGUGGGGCUCCAAAAAGUAGCGAACAGUAGUCCGCUCCUCUAUUGAAGCUAAAUGUUGUGUAGUUACCAGUGCAACUGCAGAACUAAAUUGGGUACAAACCUUACUUUUAGAGCUUCAUAUCUCUUUGCCCACAUCCCCUAUCAUUUAAUGUGAUAAUGUUGGUAUAAUAUAUCUUUGUGUAAAUCUCGUCUUUCAUUCCUGCAUGAAGUAUAUUCCUUUGGAUUUUCACUUUGUUAGAGAUCAAGAUGGUAAGGGCUCUCUUUGUGUCUUUCACAUUGGUAUAACGGAUCAAUUUGCUAACUAUCUUACUAGACCACCGUUUUGACAAAGAUUCUUACUAGACCACCGUUUUGACAAAGAUUCUUUCACUUUUAAUCCAAGAUUGGUGUUCUCAAUGAAAUCACCAUCUUGUGGAGGCAUAACGAAGAAAAUCAUACUCUCACCCAUAAUCAUAGAACGAUUAUAGGGUAAUGGAGAAAAUCUCACAAUCAUGGAGCGGUUUCUAGGUAAUAGAAAAAAUCAUACAAUCAAUAUAAUUCUUUGGAGAGAAAUUUGAAAUAUGAUUCAUAUACAGUUGUAUUAUAAUUCAUGCACAGUUAUCUUGCCUUAUCAAGACUUCCUUUGUAAAUAAAUAUAGUAUAGUCAACAUAAUACACAACCAUUUUUCUAUAUACAGCAAACCUUCAUACCAUCGAUCUUGCAAUCCGAAACAAUAUCCAAUACAAUACAUACAUCCAAAGGAUAUGGUCGGCCACCAAAGGGCAUUAGCCAUGGACAAACACACAAGAAAAGCAUCAUUUGUUUCACUAUAAAAACUAUAAUAAAAAGGCAUUCUAGUACUUUUUUCUUUAAGCAUAGUGGAAAUUGGAAUCCUAAUCUUACGAGAAUUCCAAUGUCUUAUCACAAGGACCCUACUUCACACUGUGCCCUGUUUUCAACGUACAGGAAAAUAACUCCAUCAAAGACAUCACCUUCAUAAAAUAAUGAUCACAUGUUGGAUUUUUUAACCACGACUUGGAGAGGAGUAUCAUUUUCCAUUCAAUGCCAAGAGACCCGGCGGGUGGGUGUGUGUCACAUGGAGUAGCUCAUCAGUGAUUCAGUAUUAAUGAACCCACCACCCCAGAGGCUGACAAACCAUGACUGCCUGUCUCCAAACCCCGACCCAAAUUAUUAGAGGACAUCCAAGGGUCCUUAUCAGAUCAUGAAGGCUCAUUUUAAUCCAAAAAGCCCACAUCCGCCUGCACCUCUUCAUGCAUUAAAAGUAAUUCCAAGGUGUAAAGUUUAAUUUUCAGUGCAAUGAUGGCUUAUAAUAUGAGCUUAUUCGGCAUUGGAAGCCCUCCGGCAUGCAAAGAAAUUCGGACCGUGAGUUGAGCCAAGGUGUCAUGUGGAACCAAAAGGUAAUGUCAUUGUUGUCCUUGCCUCGUGAACCACGGAGCUCGGAGGUGACACCCUAAAAGCGAAUUUAAAAAUCUUGUUACAUUUCUCUGUCAGGGUAAUUUUAUAAUAUUAAAAAUACACUUUUUGGUACCUCUAAUUAUUUUCUUCCCCAAAUUUUGUGUUGAAAGGUUCAAAAUUACCCAAAUUAUCUCAAUUAAACCUAAAUUUUACAAGUUUAAGCUUCUAAUUAAAUGAAUAUUCAACAUGAUAUUAAAUUUAAAUUUAACGAAAAAUAUAUGAUUCACUUAUUCAUAAUUUGCAUAUUUGUUUUUUAUCUUCUUGAAUUUAUGAAUGUUUUCAAAAUCUUUCAAACUCUUUUAUGAUGUUUUUUAAAAGGAAAUACCGUUUAAAAAUUUGAAACAGUUUUUAACUUGUUUUUUUAUAAUUUUAAAUAUUUAUUAAACAUAACUUUAUGUAUAAUAUUUUAUUUUUAAAAAUAAUCUAAUAAAAUAAAUCAAUAUAACUUAAAAUAAUUAAAAUAUAUUUUCAGCUUUCAAAACCAAUAUUAAAACAUUAUUCUCUAUUAAAAAAAUAAAAAUAGAUUAAAAAAAACAAAUAGGUCCCAAAUAAAUUCCUAUUCUCAUAAAAAUAAGGUAUUUUCUAUGGUAUUUUUUGAAAAUAUAUUUUAAUUUAUUUAAGAUGUUUUAAGAUUGUUUUAAAAAAUAAUUAUAUAAAUGUUGAAAAUAAUUAAAAAUAAAACACCAUAGUUAUUUUUAAGAAAUAUUUGAAAAUAAAAAAAAUAGGUUAAAAAUAUUUCAGAUUCUCAAACAAAUUCUUAUUUAAAAAAAAUUAUCAAAAAUGUGUUUUUAAACAAUUAUUCUAAAAAACCAACAAUAUUCCUAAUUAUCUAUUCUUUUUUGUUUUUAAAAAAAAUCUAUUUUUCAAACUAACUUCAAAGACACUCUAAAUUUUUCACCCUCAAAAGUGGAAAAUAAAUUUUAGCAUAUUCUCUUCCUCACCUUUUGAUCUUUUUGAAUCGGUUCGGCCUUUUUUUUUUUCUAGCGCAAGAAGGGAUUACUUUAAUUUAUCUUUCUUAUUUUUAUUCUUCCUUUUUUCCCCUCUUUCUCUUUAAUUCAGAUUCUUUUCCGUGGCUCACAAGCAGGGAAUCAUCAACCCGCCCGGAAUGCAAAGCCUAAAAGUAGGAUUUUGCCCUUCUGUUUUAGUUCAUAGUUGGAGGGGAUGAGAUCCUAGACCAAAGUGGAGGCGGUAUACUUUGUAUUAAUAAAAUAGGCAAGGAAAAUAGCAACUACUUCCACAGUCCCACCUAACCAAUUGUACAAUCGUAAGUUGGACAAAAUACAUUCGGCAAACAACUACAAACCUACACAAUCAUUGAGCAGGAUCCAAGCUUUUUACCUUCAAUAGUGUGGCAAAUCUUCCUGUUUUAUUUUGGCAGCUGUACGUGUGUGGGGGCCAACCACAUUGCAAUAAUAUUGUGAGUCAUAACUCAUCUGGCCAUGACCCAUGAAAUGGAGUGGUUGGGUCAUGGCCCAUGGGGGGAGAUAUAAUUGAUUAAUACCCACGUGUAUGAGAACAGACGAGGAAGGAGGAGGAAAAGAGAAAGAAAUGUCCCCUUUCCCCCAUUAAAAAAUUUCAGAAUAUUAAUCUUCACAUGUGUACAAAUGUGGAUCUAGCUGUUAAAAUGCCAAUUUCUUAGGCCAAAUGAGAAUUCAUACAAGCAAGGCUUUGACUUGAAUUACGAAGAUAUUUCCAAAAAUUUUGGUUGACGAAUGGAAGUAAUUAAGUUAAGUUGACGGCGUUUUAGUCAUUAAAUAUCAAAUUUUUAGUUUUAUCACCAACUUCAAUCACCUUGAAUGAUAAGGGGAUGGGCAAGGGCGAAUAAGCCGAUAUUCCUUGCUAGAAAGGGAAAGCAAGCACAAGACUGUAGAGUAUAGAGCACUUUUUCAACGCAAAGGAAUACUUUCAGGAAGGUACUUGUGUUAAAUACCUUAAUUUGAUCAUUGGCUUCCAGAGUAGGCAAAGUGAUUUGAGCAAUACCUUAGCUAUACGGAGACAUAGGCGUCGCAUAUUCAAAUUGUCUGGUUUCAUACCCUCGGAUUUUUAGUGUGGAAAAGUAAACAACCCAUGAAAGUGGGUAUAUGGUUCUUUCCAAAUCUCUACUACCAGCCACCGACCAACCACCUUGUGGCUAAUGCCCAGGCCCCAAAUGAAUGAUGCUGCCCACCUCUCAUUUCAACAUCGUAGUUAUAACGAACGUACCCCUAGUUUCUUUUAUUAAAAUCUAAAAUUUAAAACAAUGGGGAUGAGACCUAGUACAAUAAUUCGUCACGCGUAUACAAUGUGAUGGUAGUUUCAUUCAUUAAAGCUAUGUUCCGAAAAGCACAAGUAAUAAUUUAUUAAUUUUAAUUUUAAUUUUUUUUUUACUUUUAAUUUUAUUCAUAUUACAUUUUCUUUUAAAUUUUGUUUUGAUAUUCAACAUAAUCUAAGAAUAUAUUUGACAAUAAUUUUAAGAAGUGUUUUUAAUUUUUUUAAUAUCAGAGAAAUAAAAAAUUUCAAAUAUUAAAAAUGUUAGAAAUAUUUUUUAAAACCAUUGUCAAAUGUACUCUAAAUCUAUUUAUGUUUGUUUUUUUUUUUUUUCUUUCUAAUUUUUCCUCUUUAUUUUCUUUUUUCUUGAAUUUUCUCUCAAAAUUUUGAGAACCAACAUAACGUAAGGUUUUGUUGGGUUCCAAAAAAUACUAAAGAAAAAAAAAUGUUAACUCAUAUUUAUCCUAUAAAAAAUAUAAAAAAAAUCAAACAUAAUUAUGAUUAAUUAAAAUUUAUAUAUUUUCAAAUUAUUUAAUCUUUAAUGAAAGAAUUUAUAGAUUGUUAACUCAUAUUUAUCCUAUAAAAAAAUACUAAAGAAAGAAAAAAAAUGUGAACUCAUAUUUAUCCGAUAAAAAAUAUAAAAAAAAAUCAAACAUAAUUAAGAUUAAUUAAAAAUUUAUAUAUUUUUAAAUUAUUUAAUCUUUAAUGAAAGAAUUAAAAUAAAUGAAGUGGGCUUGAAAUAAUAGAAAAAAAAAAUCCCAUAUCAUGAUCCCAUUUGGGAAUGUUUUCAAAAAAAUAAAAGCAAUUCUUAAAAACAUACAAACAGUUUUCUAAAUUUAUUUUCUAUGAAAAUAGUUUUACAUUUACAUACAAAAAUUUUCAAAACAUUUUUCAUAUUUUAAAUUAAAUAACCUAAAAUUUGUUCUAAAAAAUGAUUUGUUUUUAUACCAAAGUGUUUAGGUCAAAAAUUUAUCAACAGUAUUUUCCAAGUUAAAAAAGUAUUUUCAAAAACAGUUUUCAAACCACCAUAGUAUCUUCAUUUUGUCAUUAUUCAAUGUUUGAAAAUCAACCGUUUAAGUUAAAAUUCCAUGAUGCAAAGUGAAAUUGCAGGAGCAUGUAUGUACCAGAAUUCCACUUAAAAGAAGCCAAGAACUUUAAAAUCUGUGAUUGAAAGUUGGCCAGGAGUGAUCCAUACAGGUCUUCAUCGUCUACUCUCAAGUCAAUAUCAUUUGGCUGGGUUAGAUGCUAACGUGAUAAGCAUCCGCCUUCCCUAAACUGUUUCCCACCUUAAAAUAUUUACCAUUUCUUGGAUCUCGUCACCCUCAUAAAUGUCCGAUUAGAAAACCCUUGGCUACUCGAAGUAAUUUACAAGUUGCAAUACUCCAAAUAUGUCUCUUUCAUGUGAAAUAAACAGCUAUAAAGAAAGACCCACAAGCAGCACAACCAGCCAGCCAGCUUCCAUUUCACACAACGGAUGAAGAACCAAGAAGAAGCAGCCAAAGAAAAGCAAAUUGAUUUUUAAAUAUGAUUACAGGACUAUAAAGACGAUUAACAUGGGCUGCUAAAAGAGGAAUCAAAAGUCUUCCCACGAAUGAAGAUGAGACCAUGUGUGAAUGAGAGGAGAGAGUGUAUGAACCAGCGAACCCCGCCAGGGAAAAAAAAAUUUAAGAACUUGAAAAUUAUGUUUGGGCAAACAUGGGUGGAAUCAGGUCCUUUGAUUUCUCUUUAAUAAAGAGAUAAAGAGGGAAAUUCCUUUUAGGACCCUACCAGUGCUUGUGACUGUUUUAAGGGUCGUCAAUGAAAAGUCAGCCUACCAGAUGUUAAGACAUCAAAGAAAAAUACUGUUUGCAUCUAUAAUAUGCAGUCCAGUUUUGAGCAUCCCCAUUGAAGAAACCCUCAUUCAAAUUUGUAUUUGAUUGCAGUUCUCUCAACACCCCUUUUAGUCUUUCCAGGAGAGAAGCUUCAAUGGCGUCCACUUCAGAGACGAUAGGGGGAUUUUUUGAGAAAGUUUGUGGAAGUAAUAGUAAGAAGUCGAAGGACAGGGAGGAUGAAAGCCAGAAGAUCGAAGGGAGAGUGGUGUUGAUGAAGAAGAAUGUGAUGGACUUGAAUGAUAGCAAGGCCUCCUUGAUUGACAGCGUUUAUGAAUUGGUGGGCAAACACGUAUCUCUGCAGCUAAUCAGUGCUACUCAUGCCGACCCAGGUCAGCUUCUCUGCAUCUAAAACUAGCUGGAAUAGCCUAAGACUGUUAAAGAAGACGAGGGCUUCUUUUGAAUUGAAAAUUAAAGAAGUGUUGUAUUCCUUCUCCAAUCAAAGUAAAAAAAAAAAAAUCCAAUUUUUUGUUUAUAUCUUGCAGACAGGCUUAAUUAAUUAAGCAAAGCUUUUCAGUUCUAUUUAAUGUUCUGAAAAGGAAAAUUCCAGAUCAUAUAGUAGCUCUAGUAAUGGCUUGAGAAAUGUUGGUUUGAUUUAACUAAAAUGUAGUUGUAAAUUGUGUGUACAUUCAGAAAACAAUUUGGGAGGAAAAAUUGGGAAGGCGACAUGUUUGCAGAAAUGGAAUUGCACAGGUCCAGCAAUAACAGCCAGAGAAACUGAAUUUGCAGUUACAUUUGACUGGGAAGAGGGGAUGGGUGUUCCUGGAGCUCUCAGAGUCAGCAACCAUCACCACAGUGAGUUCUACCUAAGUUCAGUCACCUUAGAAGACGUUCCAGGACAGGGUCGGAUCCAUUUUGUGUGCAAUUCUUGGGUUUUCCCCGUGCGAUACACGAAUGAGCGGGUGUUCUUCUCAAACAAGGUAAUGUGUUUUUAGAUCAUCUGAAGUGUGAGAUAAAGCUAUAUCUGAACUUCCACUAUAAUUCACCUGUAGCCCAUUGCCAAGAUGAUUCUCCCAGUUCAAUCAUUAGAUAUCAUUGAAAAUCCAUCAAGAUCAUUACAGGGGAAGACCCAAAACUCCAGACAUUAACUUUAUGGAUUUGAUUUAGCAUCCUGGGCCAUAUUGCCUGUCUCUCUGUCAUGAUUUCCAUCUCUCUCUUUUUUCCAUGGUAAUUACUGAAAGCUUUUUCUUCUUCUUUUAGUCGGAAACUCAUAUUUUAUCUUUCCCACUACCAAAAUAUCCUUUACUUAGUUGACAGGGUUCAGAUUUUUUAAAGCUAGCACAGGUUUUUAUGGUGUGCAUAUGCCUCCUUGGCUCCUACAGGUUCAAAAGCUAAUUUAAGGCAAAGAUGGUAUAUGUAGGCUGGUGAAAGUCACUAGAAAGGAAAAGGGAAACUUAACGAAAGUGAAUUUUACACAAUCAACAUUGUGUGAAUUGAGUAAAUAUAUGCUAAUAAGCAAGUUCAAGAUUUGUGUACAGGCCUAUCUUCCAUGUCAUACACCAGAGCCUUUACGCCAGUACAGGGAAGAAGAACUGGUGAAACUUCGUGGAAAUGGACAAGGUGAGCGCAAAACAUGGGAAAGAAUCUAUGACUAUGAUGUCUACAAUGAUUUGGGAAAUCCAGAUAAGGGUCCAAGCCAUGCACGCCCUAUUCUGGGUGGAUCUGAAGAUUACCCUUAUCCCCGCAGAGGAAGAACAGGGCGGGAAAGGACAAAAACCGGUAAGAUACCUAAACCUUGUGGCAAGGUAAAAAUAGUGAUCCUCAUAGGUUCAUAUAUAUAUAUAUAUGAGUGGCAUUCCGUUUUGAUCAUCUCUAUUUUACAAUUUUUUUCCUACUAUCAUUAUAACAGAUCCUUGCAGCGAGAAAAGAUUGUCACUCCUACGUUUAGAUAUUUAUGUUCCAAGGGAUGAACGGUUUAGUCAGGUGAAGUUCUCAGAUGUCCUUGCCUAUGCUGUCAAAUCCCUUGUUCAGGUAUUGAUCCCGGAGAUCAGAUCUUUAUUCGACAAGACUGUCAACGAAUUUGACUCCUUUCAAGAUGUACUGAACAUCUAUGAAGUAGGGAUUAAUGGACAAAAUGGAGGAACACACGGUACAGUUAGGGACUGCAUAUCAUGGGAGUUUAUCAGGGAACUCGCCCAUUCAGAUGUAGGAUUUCAUAAAUUUCCAAUGCCUGAUGUAAUAAAAGGUAAAUAGAUUUUGUUUAGGUAUCUCAUUUGGCUUUCAAUAGGUUGGAGACUUCAAUAUUUACUAAUAUUCUUAAUCAUCUUGCAUAUUAAUUAUGAGGCUACUGUCAAAUACUUGCAGAAAAUACUACUGCUUGGAGGACAGAUGAAGAGUUUGGACGAGAAAUGCUGGCAGGAGUAAACCCUGUUAUAAUCCGUCGCCUAGAAGUAAAAUUGAAUUUCCAACCGAUAAGUUUGGAUUUUAUGGUUCUUUUGCUUCAGUGACUAACUAGUAUGCUAUAUGCAGGAGUUUCCCCCGGUCAGCAAGCUAGAUAUUAAUAAAUAUGGCAAUCAAACCAGUACAAUAACCAAAGAGCAUAUCGAGAAAAACAUGAAUGGUCUCACUGUCGAUCAAGUACUAUUCCUGCUUUAUUUGUUUUGUCACUAAUUCUAAUUCCUACUAUGUUCUUGUCAACACUAACAACCAUUUCUUCUGGAAAAAAAAAAAAACAUAGGCAAUUAAGAACGACAAGCUGUUCAUAUUAGAUUAUCAUGAUGCAUUGAUGCCAUUCCUGAGCCGGAUAAACUCAACUAGCACAAAGACAUAUGCCACAAGAACACUCCUUUUCCUGAAAGAAGAUGGGACAUUGAAACCGUUGGCAAUUGAGUUAAGCUUACCACAUCCACAAGGGGAAAGUUAUGGAGCCACCAGCCAAGUCUACACUCCAGCAGAAGAUGGUGUUGAAGGUUCAGUUUGGCAGCUCGCCAAAGCUUAUGCUGCAGUGAAUGAUUCUGGCUACCAUCAACUCAUUAGUCACUGGUAUGUUUAUGAGAUUAAAAUUCUGGAUGGUGGCAAAGCAAGAAUUUUGGCUCCAGUUUAGAAUGGGUACCUCAAUACUUCUGAUUAUGGUUGCAGGUUGAACACCCAUGCAGUAAUAGAACCAUUUGUGAUUGCAACAAACAGACAAUUGAGUGUGCUUCACCCCAUAUAUAAGCUUCUGCAUCCUCACUUCCGUGAUACAAUGAACAUAAAUGCCUUGGCCAGGCACAUUCUCAUCAAUGCAGGUGGGUUUCUUGAGAUGACAGUUUUUCCUGGUAAAUAUGCACUGGAAAUGUCUGCUGUGAUUUAUAAGAACUGGAAUUUCACUGAGCAGGGGCUUCCUGCUGAUUUACUUAAGAGGUAAUCCGAAGAGCUGCACACAAAGAAUAUUGUCCAUUCCAUUGCUCUUUGUUGAAAUCAAUUUUAAUUUGAUCUAUUUCCUUUCAGAGGUGUAGCAGUUGAGGACCCAAACUACCGCCAUGGGCUCAGGCUUCUGAUAGAGGAUUACCCCUAUGCUGUUGAUGGGCUAGAAGUUUGGUCUGCAAUUGAAACUUGGGUCACUGAAUACUGCUCGUUCUACUACCCUACAGAUGACUUGAUUCAAUGUGACACCGAACUGCAGUCAUGGUGGAUGGAGCUCCGCAACAAGGGUCAUGGUGACAAGAAAGAUGAGCCAUGGUGGUCAGAGAUGCAGACACUAGUUGAUCUUACCAAAACAUGCACAAUUAUCAUUUGGGUGGCUUCUGCCCUCCAUGCAGCUGUCAAUUUUGGGCAAUACCCUUAUGCUGGCUACCUUCCAAACCGCCCAACCAUAAGCCGCCGCUUCAUGCCUGAGCCAGGCACUCCAGAGUAUCAAGAGCUUGAGAGAAACCCUGACUUAGCCUUCCUGAAAACAAUUACAGCCCAGCUACAAACCCUUCUUGGUGUGUCCCUAAUAGAGAUUUUGUCUCGGCAUUCUACUGAUGAGAUUUACCUUGGGCAGAGAGACACUCCUGAAUGGACUUCAGAUGCUGAGCCCCUGGCGGCAUUUGAGAGAUUUGGCAGCAGGCUGAGGGGCAUUGAAACAAGAAUUAACCAAAUGAACCAAGACAGGAGAUGGAAUAACCGAUUUGGGCCUGUUGAGAUGCAAUACACCUUGCUCUAUCCCAACACCUCAGAUUACUCAAGACAGGGUGGCCUCGCUGGCAAGGGAAUUCCUAAUAGUGUCUCAAUCUAAAUUUUUUGUUGAAAUGAUUAGUGAGUGUUUGUUUGUGAAGCAAGGAAAUACUUUUGGUUCAAAAUCUUUGUAUCUUCGAACUUUCUUGAUCACAUAGUGAAGGCAAGUAAAAUAUGCAGAUUCUCAAACAUGCUAUGCAAUCAUCCACAUGCCACAUAAAUGUUAUUUUGCAACUAUGUAUGCUUAUAUGAAAAUUGUAUUUUCAGAUUUGCAUACAUGUUCUCCAUAUACACACACACAUGGUAUCCCAAAAGAAUCCAAAGGACUAAGGUGCACAACAAUCAGCUAAUGCAAUCGAAAACCUGACAAGAUAUCCUUGAUGGUCAUUUUUCUUGGCCGGACUAGCUUCCUUCUAGAAUCUGCAUCCUCUCUAGUUUUGCAGCAUUUCCCUGGAUUUUGUCCAUCCCAUAUAUACAUUAGUUACUGGAAGCCCUUGAAACCACACUCCCCUACCCAAAAGGGGAAAAUACAGGGGAAGGUGGGAUUUCAUCCCAGGUCUCUACCACCUUCACUGGCCAACACCCUUCAAGCAGGGGCUUUGACUAUCAACAGAGGCUUUUCUAUAAAUUGAUUGCAUCCAUGAUUCAAACUUAAAUCACUGAAAGUAGAAACGUUUUGGUAAAGAAAAUGCUUCUACAGAUUGCCACACUCAAACCGUAUUAAAAUUGGUUUGAUCUUUGAUCCAACCUGAGUCCAAUUGUAAAGAAUCCCCACAUUCUAAAAUUAUCAAGCAAAAUACAUAACACAAUAUGAGUACAAAAAAGAGCGUAGAAAUCCAAAUUGAAUGCACAAAAUAAGAGGUAAAUAUGGAAAACAGAAAAUUAAAAAUGAGAAACAAGAAUAACAAGAUGAAUAUUAAUCAGAAACUUAAGGGAACAGAAUGUAAGAAAAAUAAAGAGAAGAAUUAUCAAAAGGUUAACAUCAGUAUUGACUUACCUGUUGCAAUGAACAAAACUAAAACCCCCCAACCCAAUACCAUCGCCAUCAAAAUAACCUGAAAAUUGAAUGACACCCCAGCAUCACAGUAAAACCUAACUCUCUCUCUCUCUCUCUCAUUGUGUGCAUGCGACAGGUGUCAAAGCCCUGGCCUUCUGUCACUGUUAUCCGCGUCCUACCUGGAUUUAUGCCUAGAAAUCCAAAACGGCGUCGUUUGAUUCUAUUUGAGGAUGUUUUAGGAUUAUUUCCAUUCCUAUAAGUGUGAGUUCUUAAAAAAAAAAAUCUUACUAAUAUUAUAAUCCAUUUUGUUCUUCAAGAAAGAAACUUUAUUUUAAUGCUUGAGUACACAAAAAGACUCUCAUUCUCUUGUUUAUUAGAUUCAAUUUCCCUUAAUUUUAUUAAAAGAAAAAAAAAAUUAAACUUUUUUUUAACUAUGUUUGGUUCUCAAAAAAUAUCUGAGAAAAAAAAUGUUAAAGAAAAUAGUUUUCUCAUAUUUAGUUUUAUUAAAAUAAAAUUAAAUAUAAUUAAAAUAAAUCUAAAUUUUAUAUAUAUUUAAAUUAUUUAAUUUUGUUAUAAUAGAUAAAAAUAAGUAAAAUGAGUUUAAAGAAAUAUAUAAAAAUAAUUUAUUAAAUUUAAAUUAAAAUUUUAUUUUUAUUUUUAUUUUUUUAUUUCUACUUUUCUCCUCUAUCUUAUUUCCUUUACAUUUUCCCUUAAAAUUUUCAAGAAUUAAACAUAACAUAGAAAAUACUUUCUUUUCCUCACACUCAAACAAAAUUCUCAAAAGGAUAAGAAUAGAUUCACUUAAAAUUUAAUAUUUCUAUUUUUGGAUGAAGUACAAAUAUAAGAAUAAAUUAUAAUCAAAAUACAUUAAUUAAUAAGAUUAAUUUCAUUCACUUCCCUUGAAAUUUUAGUUAAAUACCAUUAGUCUCAUAGGCAUAAAAUUUAAAAGGGUUUUUUCUUUUUCUUUUUUUAAUUUUUUAAUUAUGUAGGAAUUAUUUUAUGAUUAAUAAAACUUUUAUAAUAUCAAUUUUUUAAAAUUAUAGUUAUUAAUUGCAGUUUGGACUUAUGAUUAAACCAAAAAUCAUAAAGUAAUUUUAAGCAAAAGUUAUAUUUCACAUGUCAAAUUGUUUAAAGUGAUCAAACUUAGUAAAUGAAAUUGAUCAAUAUUUUAAAAUACCUUUUAUACAUGACUCUUGUACAAUUAAAUACUAGAAACUUUAUUUAAGAAAAUAUUUUAAAAUAAAAAGAGAAUUUGUUAUCAAAGUUAGUCAACUAAACAUUUAUUGUAAAUACUCAUUCCCUUCCAUAUAGAGAUUGUAUGGUAAUAAAUGCUCAUUCUAGGCUAGAUAUGUUCAUAUGAUUUUAAAAUGAGCUCAUAUGAAUUAGGAUAGUCCUCUAUAGUCUGCAUAUACGAUGUUAUAAACUUCUCUUCCUAAUUAAUAUAGGGUAUUACAUUCAUCUUUUGAUAUAAAUAUAAAGUUCUCGUUGUAUCUUAUGAGAUUGUAGGAUCACUCAAACUGACAUAUACUUUUUGUAGCUAUGUAAGAUAAACAAAGUCUCACAUUAGGAUUAGAGAAUGAUUUUGAUACUAUUUUAGAGUUACUCACUCUUUUUUGUGUGAAUAUUAUCUGUUUUAAGCCCAAUAAAAUGUGUCGAUUCUUGAAGAUAUAAAAAACUUUUACUUCUCUUAAAAAUAAGGAUUUCUCCUUCAAUUACAUGGCGGUGCUUCCCUUUUUUAAUGCCAAUUUUUUUUAUGUAUUGUUAAGAAUAAUAUUUUUCACUUUACGUGUUUUUUCUCAAUCAUAAGUUUGCAGUGUUUAACUUUUUGUUAGGUGCAUUCUAUUUCUUUUUGCCUAAGUCACCAAGUCAAGUAGUUUUACUAGUUGUUAAGAGAGAGUGAUGCCCUUGAGCACUUGAGAUGGAUAUUAUCAAUUUUCAUGCAUCUUCAGUUGUAAUAUUACUUAUAACGAACUUUGCAUUCCAUGACUUUGUGCGGUGAUAUAGAAUGAUCGACUUUAAUAUUAUUUAUGAUGAUCCACAUUUUCAUUAUGUAAAUAUUAUCCGUUUUGUAUCCAACUAACUCCAUUUUAAAAUGGGUAUAUAUAUAAAUCUUAGUCUAUAUUUAUCUUAAAAAUGUUCUUCAAAGUAGUAUGUCCUUGCCACAUCGGUAUCAAUAAAAAUAUAUUUUAUUUAUUUGUUUUGUUCAUGUUAAAACUGUAGGUUUUGACCUUAAACCUAAAAUUAUAAUAACCAACUAUGAUUUUGAAGCGAAAAAUUAAAAGAAGAAAUAAAGUGGGUAUUAAUAUGAUUGGAAUACUAAUUUGGUGAAUAUUUUUAGAAGUAAUUUAGAUUUAGAAUUUCCUUUUUUUUUUAAAAAAGAAUUUUUUUUGUUAAAAACCCGAUAUGUGUGGUAAAGUUAAAACUUAAAAGAUAGAAAAAAAAAAAAUUGUGCUACCACUAUUGUAGAAAAGUUCGGCAUUUGCUGAAUAGAUAAAAAUAAAAUACAAUAUUGUAGCACAAUAAAAUGUAAAAACUAAAAACCCUUUAGCCUUGGAAUAAACCUUGACCAAUUAGGGAAGAUAUAUGAAGAAAAAGGUAAGGUAUGGGUAAGAGGGCGUAUCAAAAUCAGGCAUUCUAAUUGGUCCAGUGCAUAUUCCCUUAUCCACCAGACCUACAUCACCCACUUCUCCGCCACUCAUCCAAAAUCCUACAAAACUCGAUCUCCGACUCAAAAGCCUUCUCUCAUGAUCCUGAUCCUCAACUCACACUACAACCCUUAGCACCACCACCCACCUUCUCUCAUGGCCAUGGCUACCCAAGCUUCCCUCUUCACCCCCACACUCUCCGGCGACCGUGUUACCGUCCCAUGGAAAUCAUCGUCUUCACUCUCCUUCACCACCCCAAAACUACCCAAAUCCUCCGUUGCGCCCAGGACCACUAUAAGGGCCAUGGCGGAGGAAGCACCGACAAAAGAAGCCCCUGUUGGCUUCACCCCGCCUGAAUUGGAUCCCAACACCCCUUCUCCCAUCUUCGGCGGCAGCACCGGAGGCUUGCUCCGCAAGGCCCAAGUGGAAGAGUUCUACGUCAUCACAUGGGACUCUCCCAAGGAACAAAUAUUUGAAAUGCCCACUGGUGGUGCCGCCAUAAUGAGGCAAGGUCCCAAUCUGCUCAAGUUGGCCAGGAAGGAGCAGUGCUUGGCGCUUGGAACAAGGCUGAGGUCCAAGUACAAGAUCAAGUACCAGUUUUACAGGGUGUUCCCCAAUGGCGAGGUGCAGUACUUGCACCCCAAGGAUGGGGUCUAUCCCGAGAAGGU